rnacentral:lncRNA from 1 species
UUUGAGCAUGCAUGAGAUAAAAAUACGAUUCAAGACUACAUUAAUUCUAAGACAUACCGCGGUCUUAACAAGCUCAUCGGCAUAUGAACUAGCACGGACGGUAAAGGCGGCCGAUGUAGGGUGUGACCGUACAAAACAAACCGAAGGGUGGCGGAGGUUUUGGCCCUUAAUCCACUCGGACUUGUCGAUAAUAGGUGAAGACUUGAGGAGAGUAGCGGAAGCAGAAGCCAUUUUUCUUGGGCUUUCAGAGGGCUAAUCAAUGAAGCAAGUCGAAGGAUGUUAUGAGGGGCUUUAUUAUGUCUAAAUUUACACUAUAAUCUUAUCUCUUCAAUACCGGCCUUCCUUCACCACACAUGCAAGUCUCGCUCACUGGAUUUUAUACUUGCGUUUGUCUAUACUAUCACUAUACCAGAAGAUGUAACAUUUGAGGCUGUCGUGCUCCGACCAAUGCCCUUGUGCCAUGUGGAUGAUAAUUUUGUACAUUUGGCCGGGAUGCAUUCCGUGAUUGAUAUGGAUGAUUCUAUACUCACCUCGUAAAACAUUGUUUCAAAUAGGUUUAUUUUUUUUCUCAUUUUUUCAAUUUACUUUUAUUUUUUAUUUAAUUUAAAAAAAAGUAAAGGUUUACUAUAACAUUUGUUAACUAAACAUGACACUUUUUCCUAAUUUGGUACUUAAUUUUUUUUGUUCAAUUUAAUACUCAAACUUGACACUUUUUCCUAAUUUGAUACCUAAACUUGACACUUUUCUUAAGUUGGUAUCUAAACUUUUUGGGAGUCCAAUUUGGUAACUCAACUUGACUCUUUUUUCUAAUUUGAUACCUAAUAUUUUUUUUAUUUGGCUUGGUACUUGUCAAACGUUUUACAAAUUACUCCAAUAUCUAACAAUGUUAUUCUUUUACAAGGUAGCAAAAAUAAUCAAUGUAUUUUAUAUGUUCAAUUACUUUUAGUUUUAUUUAAUUAAUUAUUUUAUUAAUUAAAAAUAAUGAAUUUCUUUUAAUUUGGAGUUUUUUAAAUAUUUUUUUAUUUAAUACUAAUUCAUUAACCAUAGUCAAAUAUCUAUUUUUUUAACAUGAAUUUCCUAUAACACUAACAAUAAAAAAAAAUUUAACACCGUUAGUACUUUGCAUAAUUUGUAUAACAUUUAAUAAAUUUAAGUACCAAACUGAACCUAAAAAUAACUUAGGUACCAAAUUAGGAAAAAAUGCCAGGUUCAGGUAUCAAAUUGGGCCCGAAAAAAAUUUAGGUACCAAAUUAAGAAAAAGUGUAAAGUUUAAGUUUCAAAUGUUAUAUUAAGGCGAAAUUAAAAUAUCAUUCAUUUAUUUUGUGUUGUAGCUACUUUUUUCAACAAUAUAUCUUUAAAGCUUGAUUGUAAAUUUUCUCUAAAAAUAUAAUAUGCCUUACUAUUACAUUUAAUAUUUGUUCAUAAUGUGAAAAUGUAAUUAAUAAUAUUAUUAACAGGUUUCUUUUUUUUUUUGAAUAAUAUUAACAGGUUUCUAUUAAACUAGAAUAUGUGGCAUUUUAAACGGGAUGAUUGAGUUGAUUAAAUUGAUAAUAAACUUAAGUGGAUAAAAAUUUAAAAAGUAUAAAAAUUGAGGGGUUAAAAUAUAGUUCCUGUACUUUUUGAAAAUUAGGAAUUUAAUCUUUGUACUUGUAUUUUUUAAAAAAUUAAAUCCUCUAUCUUUCAAAUUUUAAAAUUUAAGUCCAACUAUUAACACUAGACUUGAUCAUUGGUCAAGCUAGGUUCGGGCCAAGUCGAUGUAGAAAUUUAGGCUUGGACUUGACCCGAAAAAUGGACCUAAAAUUUUAUUCAAGUCUAACCCGAAUUAAAUAUGCUAAACCUAAGCCCAGCAGAACUUAUCUUAUUAAAAAAUUUAGAUUAUUUUUUUAUAUUGAAAAAUAUAAUAUACCAAAUUCACUAAAAAUAUUAAAAUCUAAAAAAUAACAAUCGAAAUUAGACAUUUGAUCGUAAAGUUUUGGGGUUACAAAAUUCAUCAAUUUAUAGCAACAAAAAGGAUGUGGUGUUAAGUUUCUUACAUUGACUAGUAACAAAAUUAGCCUUUAAAAAUGAAUACCUAAUCUUAAAUAUUAAUUUGUUAGUUAGGUUAUUUUUACACACUAACCUCGUCAAGGCAUCGCUCAAAAAAAUAUUAAUCAAAUAUCUUCGUUUCUUUUUCUAGAAAACGGGUUUUAAUUUUUAUUCAAGUUUGUUUUUUAGUUUUAUAUUUUUAUUUAAACCCUCACAUUUUUCGAAUGGGUCUUCGGGUCUAAACGGAUGGUUCAACCUAUGAUCAAGUCUAAUUAAUACUGUUAACUUUUUUUGUUAAAUUUGUUGCAAUGACAUUUUAAAAUUUAAAAAAAAUAAUCACUUGAUAGCCAUGUACGUAAAACAACAUGUUGUAAUUAACUUGAAUUUAACAAAAAAAAAAAGUAUUAACAGUUAGAUCUAAAUUUUAAAAUCUGAAAAGUAGAUGAUUAAAUUCCUAGAAAUACACGUACAAUGACUAAAUUCCUAAGUUUUUGAAAGUACAGGGACUAUAUGGAAAUUUAACCAAAUUGAGGGCAUAAUUAGACCUUUCAAAUAAUACGGCAUAUUAAAGAGUACAAAUGCAUGAUAUUGAGAAAGGAGUAUAGAGUGUGUAAAAGAGAGAUUCCUUCUCAACUGAAAGUAACCAAAUAUGAGGUUCUAAAUUUGUGCAGAUUAAUGGCUGUGGUUUUGAAGUUAAGCCCCCACAUCAGACGGUUGACAGAAUGCCAUCCCUUGAGAUUUUUCUUUCAUGAGGACCUUGGAGAAUGGAGCCAAAAGCAUAUGAUAUGAUGUGUGGCUGAGAUUCAUGCAAACUGGGCUUCUGUUUGCAUUUGUGGCCAACUGCAACUCCUAUAAGAAUUAACCAAAAACCCCAGAUUCAUGAUAAUGACUGCCGAAAAUUUUCAAACAAAAUACGAUCGGAAAAAAUUUAAAAACUUCCGUUGCCGGGACUUGAACCCGGGUCUCUCGGGUGAGAGCCGAGUAUCCUAACCACCUAGACUACAACGGAAUUCUGUUUAACAAUUUGAAUAAAUUUAUUAAGUCAUUUAUCGAUUAAGUUGCUAUUGAACUUCAUCAUACAGUAUUCCGAUUUUUAGUUUUUUUUUUCUCACCCAAAUAUAAAAAAUUACAAAAGAAUCAGUAAAUUUAUCAAUUUUUAACGUUUUGGCCACUUGUCUCUUGACUCGAUAACGGACUGAUGACAUGGAUAGGCUUAAUAGCUAAUUUGGUCCUUAAACUAUAACUAAAAUAUUAAUUUCAUACUUCCCUGAAGUUAUGAUUGUACAUGUUGGAGGUAAUACGACCCAUGGGAGGUAUCUCUUGUUGAGGCAGAGAGUUGAGGUUUGUCACUCUUUAGUAGGCAAAAUUUUAUGUUUGUUUGUAAUUUUGGAAAGCCUACUAAAAUUCUUUCCUUUGCUUGUAGUUUCCAGGGGAUAAGCCUGGUCGUUUGGAGGGAAGCGGGACUGCAACGACUUGGUCCGAAUGAAGUAAGGAAGGAUCUGAAUCAGCGGCCGAAGCUUGCAGCCAGAGAGAACCGGCAAAACCAUGGAGUCUCUUGUGUUCAAUUGCUUGAUGAUAAUGCUAAGGGUGAUAGAAAGGUUGGAAAUGAGUUGAUUGAUCUAAAUGCCAAGCCACAACGGGUGCAGGUGCAAGCUUCAAUCAAUCAGGUAUUGUCGUUUGACUGGCUUUUUUCGUUCUUAAACUUGAAUGCUAAGCAGUGUAGUAAGAUGUUCUUUUAGAACUUAAUUAACGAGGUGACUGUUUUGUGUUUAAGGAGCAAGCCAUGGAUGUUUCGAGUGGCAAUAAUCAUGACUCUACAAAUGUGGUCCCUGUUGGAUCCUUCAGACGAGAGCCUGAAAAAUGAGCUAGGUAUAACUAUUAUCACCUACUUAUACUGUUUACUUCUUUUAAGAGCAUUGCAACCAUUUGGCUCUAAGAUUUUUCUGUUUUUAUGUUCAUUUCCUGAUACUUCAUUAUAGAUGCUCGUUACGUAUUUGAUAUCAAAUUAGUAAAGUGUACAAGUGAUUAAUAGGAUUUCCCAAGCAGGUAGGCUUCCUUUCACAUGACAUUGGUGCUUAGAUAGCAUUUUAAAAGACAUGUCUGGUUUUUCAAAGUAGAGCUUGACCUGCCAAGCAGUUCCUGACUCCCAUAGUCGUAUGAGAAACAGAUGGAUCGACAUCUAGUUGUUUAUGAAUCAUUAAACUAUAGAGUAAGAAUGUCUAGGCUUUUGUAUUAGGGGCAAGUUCUGCUAAAGUUUUUGAGAGAAAUGGUAUCCGGUGCAAGUAACCUUUAAUCUUCAUGCAUAUGGCUAGACAGCUAAAUAACUUUUGAUCCCAAAAGAUGGUAAACAUGGCGGCUUCUGCUUGCCUAUCUAUCUCAUGGUUUCUCUCUCUUACUUUAGGCUCGUGUAGAACAAAACUAUCCGGCUGGUUCUAAGGUUACUCUUACGUUCCCCUCAAAAUAUGCACACACACACACAUGCGCACACGAACAGCUAACCAUUCUUUCUACUCCUUUGAUAAUUGAAUGAGGUUUCUUAUCAGAUAAUGUUGUCCAUCAAUGUUUGGCUGCAGAUACAGCUGAAUCAGUUCUCGCACAUCUAUGUAUUUAUCGAGUGAAGCGAUUGCCUUUGUUAGAUAUGUCUUCCUUCCCCAUGGAUUAGUCAUUAUUGCCGGUGAAUUAGAAUGACUAGUUGCCAUCAAAUUGUAAGUGGGAAAUAGAAGAAUAAUGGUGGGGAAAUUUUAACUUUUGAACGGAAAAAAUUCCCCUGCUUGUUUCUCCAGAAAAUGUCUUUCCUUUAUCUGGUAGAAUUUUGGGCCUGAAAGCAGAACAAGCAGUGGGAGAGUAUGAAUCAUGUUGCUCUUCCACCUCUUCUUAGUGGCAUCCAUUUUACCUUUGCUUAAGUUCCAUUAUGGUGUUUCUUCUAUUUUUGCCACACUCAAAUAGCAGCUGAAAUUUUUUGGAUGGAAUCCAAUAAUAAGAUGGAGGAAUGUUGUGAAAAAUACAGUUUAAUUGUGUAAGUAGAUCUGUCUACAGGUUGGGUCGGAUUCAGUCAAGCACUCAGGCAAGUGUAAGUCUAUUUCAAUUUUUAUGCUUAAGGAUCCUAAGCUAAACAAUUGGUUUAACUCCUCGGAAAAUGGAUAGUAAAAGAGAACAUCUCACGUCCAAUUCACCUAAUAUUUUUGCUUGAACUUGUUUUUCCAGUCCAACAUUUCCAAGCAGACAGUUUAGAAGAACGUCGAGCAAGAUUGAGAAAUGAUAAUCCGGAAGUUAAUCAUAUCAGUCUACUCUAAUUUUUUUUAUCACGAAAAUGCAGAUUCAAGCAUGUUUUAGUAUUUAUGAUGAUGCCAUUUAUAAGUAACCUCAUCGGCAAGAAGUUUAUUAACAAACAGUACAUUGCAAUCCAGAACAAAAACUAGUCUCCAGGGUCUAUAGAACAUUAAACACAAUGAGAAUGAAAGAGAUCAGAAACCAUAUCAUGAAAUCUCCAUCAUCUCAGCUAAGCUUUGUUUGCAGCAGCUUAGUAGACAUAUCCCUUUACGAACAUUCCUUUCUUGGCCUCUUCUGAUUCUCCCUCGCCGGUGUAUUUGCCGAGCUGAGCAAGUGAGUUGGCCUUGGCACGGACAAGGAGUGCAUCCUGAGCAGCCUUAACGUUCUCGGGUCUGCCUCCCCAUGUCUUCAAGCAAGUGUUCUGGAGAGCUCUGGCAUACGAGAACGAGACGUGCCAUGGGUUUGGAGAUUGGUUCAUUGCGUUCAAGUUGAGGGUUGCUUCAACCUCUGAUUGUCCACCAGACAAGAACUGCACAACAGAAACGGUUUGUCCAAUCCGUUAGUACGGUUCAUUGUAUUAUUUCACAAUGCUUUCGUAUAGAAAAUGUACCAUGAUUCCAGGAACAGCUGGGGGGAUUCUCCUGUGGAGGAGCUUGAGGGUGUAAUCCGCAACUUGCUGUGGGGUGGCCUUGUCUUUGCAUUCAGCACCAGGAGUGACCAUGCUGGGCUUGAGAAGGAUGCCCUCAAACAUGACAUUGUUCUCAGCAAGGUAGAAGAAAACCUCAGCCCAAACCUUCUGCGCUACUUCGAAAGUCCUAUCAAUUCCAUGGUCACCAUCAAGCAAGAUUUCCGGCUCCACAAUCGGGACCAAUCCACUGUCCUGCAACACAAUGGCCACAAAAAUCACUUCUCAACAACAAGUAGCACACACAUAAUGAUUACUCCUCAGCUUCAUCUAUCAACUUACUUGAGAAAUGGCGGCAUAGCGAGCAAGUCCCCAAGCUGCUUCUUUAACUGCCAAGGCUGAUGGACCAUUUGGAAUGCUCACAACGGUACGCCUGUCCGAUCAAAAAGAGCUAAUAGUGUUAUACAAGAAUCCUUUACUUCAACACUGCAUAAUAUGGUUGAGAAGUCAUCGAACAUGGGAUUACCAUUUGGCGAAACGAGCACCCUGCUGGUAGUAGGCAGCUGUGCGGGAUGAAAGACCGUCAAGACCUUGGCACCAUGACUCGUUGUUGGAACCAGGGAGUGGAACCAAACCCUGUUAUUUUGUUUACCAAAUCAUUCAGUUCCAAGUAUCCUCUUUAAAAAUAUGAAUUUCUGGAUGCUUUUUGGUUAAGCUUUAUACCUUGUCAACUUUGAUACCAGGGACAAUAUUUUGCUCAACAAGAACAUCGACCAUCUUUUUCCCAUCGAUGGUAGAUUGGUAGAGAGUCUCCUCGAAAAGGAUAGCUCCCGAGAUGUAGUUACCGAGGCCAGGGGCAGACACGAGAAGGGUACGGUAAGCUUGCCGGUUUGCCUCGGUAUUCUCGAGACCAAUCGAGGCAAGCCGCUUCCCACAUGUAGCAUUUGAUUCAUCCAUGGCCAAAAUACCACGACCUGGAGAUGCAACAGUUUUCUACAUCCAAACAAAGAAAUAAUAUUUGAGCAUGCAUGAGAUAAAAAUACGAUUCAAGACUACAUUAAUUCUAAGACAUACCGCGGUCUUAACAAGCUCAUCGGCAUAUGAACUAGCACGGACGGUAAAGGCGGCCGAUGUAGGGUGUGACCGUACAAAACAAACCGAAGGGUGGCGGAGGUUUUGGCCCUUAAUCCACUCGGACUUGUCGAUAAUAGGUGAAGACUUGAGGAGAGUAGCGGAAGCAGAAGCCAUUUUUCUUUUUGGUUAUGUUUAUCUUUGGGCUAAUCAAUGAAGCAAGUCGAAGAAUGUUAUGAGGGACUUUAUUAUGUUUAGUUUUUCACCAUAAUCUUAUCUCUUCAAUGUUGGCCUUCCUUCACCACACAUGCAAGUCUCACUCACUGGAUUUUAUACUUGUGUUUGUCUAUAUCACCAUAUCAUAAGAUGUCACAUUUGAGGCUGUCGUGCUUUGACCAAUGCCGUCAUGCCAUGUGGAUGAUAAUUUUGCACACUUGGCCGGGAUGCAUUCGUGGUUGAUAAAAACAUUGUUUCACAUGCGUUAGUCAUUUUACUUUAUCAUCUCUUUUUUAUUUAAAAUAAAAAAAAUUUACAUAGUCCGUUUUGAUCAUAAAUUCAUGAUUAUUUCUCUUAAUAAUAUCGUAUUUGAACUUCAAUUAUCUCGUGCAAUAUAAUUUAUCACUAAAUUUAACACUCUUUAAUAAAAUUAAAAUGUAAUUGAUAACAUUGUUAAUAGAUUUCUAUUAAACUUAAAUAUAUAUUGUUUUAAUAUUUAAUUAAGACCAUAAUAAAUUAAAACAAUAAAACACUACAUUCAAAAAGAAACAAUGACACACCUAAUUAUCUAUGAUUUGAUUAGAUGAAUCGGUUGGUCAGUUAAACUACUUAUAAAUUUAUAGUUAUUUUUUGCUUACUCCUAAUUCGAAGAGUAUAAAGAUUUAGGAUAUAAAACAUUUGAAAUUGUAGUGGAUAAACUUGUGUAAGUAACAAACAAGUGAAUUAAUGAAGAAAUUAAAAAGAUUGAAUACAUAAAUUUUAUGUGAAAAAAUUUCUCUAAAGAGAUAAAAAAUUACGAGCAAAAGAAGAUUUCACUAAUAAGACAAAAAUAUAAAAUUGAGAGAGUCAAAAUAAAGAAAAUCUGAAACCUCAAAAGAAAAAUCAUUUGGACUAAAACACAUAAUUCUCUCUUAACUAUGAUCUAAUUCACACACUAAUCUCAGUGGCUCUAAGGUGACUUAUAUAGUGUACAUGUUACUUGGUGUCUACUUACCUUAGAUACACUUUAGCUAUUAAUUAAUACAAUAUACUAUUAAAUACUUAGAGUCUAAUUAGGAAAUAAUCCAAAAAUUAUCAUCCAAUGAAUUAGCUACAUAUUUUCAUAUCUCGGCGUGAUGACAGUUGCUCGUUGCGACCUCGUGUUCCCUCAUUAUGACAUCACUCUUUGUUUUGGUCUGAAAUACAAGGCAUAGUCCACAGAAAUAAUAAAGCAUAUAUAUACAAAAAAAAAAAACAGAUUUUUUCUUUCCUUGUAAUGUAGUAAGAGUACAAGAACAUCAUAUUCACAAUGCAGUUUGCAGUGCGUGUAAAUUAGAGGUGUUAGAGAGAUUCCUUCUGAAACUAAACAAACAUGAGGUUCUAAAAUUUGUGCAGAUUAAUGGCUGUGGUUUUAAGUACAGGGUCUUGAAGUUAAGCCCCUACAUAGGACGGUUGACAGAAUGCCAUCCCUUGAGAUUUUUCUUUCAUGAGGACAUUGGAGAAUGGAGCCGAAAACAUAUGAUAUGACGCAUGGCUAAGAUUCAUGGAAACUGGGCUUCUGUUUGCAUUUGUGGCCAACUGCAACGCCUAUAAGAAUUAACCAAACACAAAAAUAAAUUCUCGAAAACCCCUGAUUCAUGAUAAUGACCGCCGAAUUUUUCAAUCAAAGACGAUCGGAAAAAGAAAAUGAAAAAAACAGUUCCCAUUGCCGGUACUUGAACCCGGCUCUGUCGGGUAAUAACCAAGUAUCCUAAUCACUUAAACAAAUUUUAAUAAAAUAUAACAACCCUUACUUGGUCUGAUCGCCGGAUCCGAGCUAAAGAAUGCUACAACAAUUAACGGAUCAAUCACAUACAUUUAACAUCAAUAACAUUCAAUAAUUCAACAAACACAAGUCAUAAUUCAUGGUUAAUACGAUUUCCAAACAAAUCCGAGUUAUAAUCGAAUUUAUGAAAGUUCUUAAGUUAACCCGAGUAUAAAUAAGGAUUAAGUUAGAAAUUUUAAACAAUUAGGGAAAAUCAUAAAAUAGGACCAUAUAGUCGUGUGCCUAGAUUGUGUUAAAAAUUGAAACCAUGUAGUUGGAGUUGGUCGUGCGACUCCCUUUUCACAUGGUUACAGUUUUUCAUACAGCCGUGUGAUUAUUUUUUACUGAAAUUUUCAUGCUUUCUGUUAAAUUUUCCUAAGCUUAAUUGAGGCUUGGAUAUGGCUCUAUAUUAUAUUGAAUGAUUGAUAUGAUAAAAAUUUGUCAUGUUUUACUGUGAAUUGUUUGUUAUAGUUUUGUUUCGUACAGUAGCACACCGUAAUUUGUUCCCGACGACAGAGAUAAGUAAAAGAUGUUACAUUAUAACCUAAAGAUUAAUAAUUUAAGUAUUCCAUUCAUUAAGUUGCUAAUGAUGGGUCGUUAAAUCAAUAUUUGUCAAACGUACGAUUAGUUACUUAAUUAGUAGUUUUUUUUAUCACUCAACUAUAAAAAAUUAUAAAAUAAUCAUAAUAUUUUGAUCAUUUAUUUAUUAAUUCGAUUAUGGAUAUUUAAAUCUACGUCCUUCUGAUUACUACAAUAAUAACAAUACUACUUAAACAAAAUUGUUGAAUUGUAAAUAUUUUAAGGGCACGAAAAGUACAGUGCAUAAUACCCUUUAAUUUGAAGUUUUUGAGGUUAUUACAUAUAUAAAAAUUGUAAAGAAGAAAAAUAGAGAUUAGUAGUGACUUAAUAGGAUAAUUUAGGGACUUCAUCUCACUAUAUAAGAAAAGUAAGUUUCACUGUCACAGGUCAUCGACCCAUAGUUAAUUAUCUAACUACUUAUAAUUUUUUUUUAAAAAAAAGUUAUCUAUUAUAGAAAAUCUCAUAACUCGAAAUUUUAUCUGACUUUGUGAUCUUGAAUCCGAUCUAUAAUUGAUACCUUUGCAAUCUCGCAAAGUCAACACGAUGGAAUGCCUCACGAGGGAGACAUGCGAAUAUUUUUCCCAAUCUUGUUAGGCAAGACAUGCAAAUAGGUAUGAUGAUACUUGGAUAUAAAUCUUGUCAAAAAGACACAUCUAAAAUACAUGUUAAACUUAAAAGAAGGACGUAUCAUUUUGAGUUUUAUGCAUAACACCUAACCACCUCUAACAUGUCUAAUUAAAAGAACCGUAUCGUAUAAAUAAGAAAAAACCGCUCCUGAAAAAGGCUGAAAAACAAACCUCAACACUACCAUUAAAAGAAACGUGAUAAUAAUUAGGAAUGCAAGAAUCAACCAUAGAGUACAAAUCAACAGUGCGACGAAGUUGGCCCUGAAAGCAUUAAGAAAGAGUAGAUCAAAAGUGACAUUUGAGGUAGCUUUUCAAUUACCCUUUCGAUUUUUCUUAUAAAUAAAUUCACCAUUUAACAAUAGGAAAACAAAAUGUUAAAUAUUAAGAUUGAAUUUAAUUUAUUGAAAAAAAAAUGUAAAAAUAAGAUUUGAAAUAUGAAAAAUCGGUUUCCUAUUAAAAUACAUAUAUAUAAUAAGAUUUGAAUCUAAAAUAUUAGUCUUUAUACUUUCAAUCGGAAUGAGUUGAAUUUUUAAUGGAACUAAUGAAAUAAAUAAAUAAAUAAACGUUGAUUAUAAAAUUCGAACCCACAACCAUAUGAUUGAAAACCUUAUAGUUUAACAUCUAUAUGAAACAAAAUUAUUAUUAUAAUCGUAUCAAUAAGUGUGUUUUCGACAUUCUAAUUUUACAUCCUACAUUAAAAUUAACAGUUGAUCAAGAAAAUGACUCUGAAAGUAUAUCAAACACUAAUACCACAAUUAGCAAAUUAAAAAAAACUUACAAAAAGAACGAGAUUUACAUAUUGUGAGAUAACAAAAAAAGAAAAAAAAGAGAAAGAAAUACUUUUUUUCAUUUUAUUAUAACUUUUAUAAUGUUUUACAAUUUUUAAAAGUUUUCAUUUUUAAAUUUUUUAUAAUUUAAAAAUUACAUCUAAAAUAAACUUAGACAAUGCCGAACUUCAAAUGAAUUUGGACAUCUAUUCAUUAUGGACUUUGAAUGUUUAUAUACAUAUUUGGACAUCUAUUCAUUAUGGACUUGAAUGUUUAUAUAUAUAUAUAUAUAUAUUUGGAGUUUUUUGAAAUUUUUUCCUAUGUGGAUAGCCAUGUUAGCAUCACAACGGUUGACUCAGCGGCCAUUAAUGACCACAUCCAUAUAGUAAUAGUCAAAGACAAAAAUUGUUAAUCAAUAGGCUUAAUUGAUGUGUUUUUAAUGUUUGAGGAUUUUUUUUAAUUAAUACAAAAUUUUCAACAAAAAAGUUGUGAGUAAGAUAAGUAGGUAAAUAGCAACUUAUCCCUAAUGUUGAAAGUGUUAAAUUGACUUUGUUUUAAAAAUGAAUUAUAUUGUCUUCUUUUUUAGAUAUCUAAAUUUACAAAUAAUUUCAAUUUGAUCCUAAUUCUAAAAAUACAUAAAAUAAAAAAUAUAUAAAAUACAUAAAAUACAUAAAUUUAUUAUUACAUCGUUUUAAAAUAUUUGUGUAUUUUUAUAUUUUUUUUAGAAUUUUUUAGAAUUAGGAUUAAAUUGAUAUCAUUUGUAAAUUUUUUAGGGUUAAUUUUUAAAAAUUAUGAUUUAAUUGAUAUAAUAUGUAAAAGUUAAGGGCUAAAUUUAUUGUUAUACUGAUUUUUUUUAACUAUCAGUUAGCUUGUCGCUUGUGAUUUUAACGAAAUUGACCAAAAUGACAGAACUAUAUAACAUGAGUGUUUAAAUUGUAAACUUUUUAUUUUUUGUGCUUAAAAUGAAAAUUUUUUUAUAAUAAAAUGAAAAUCUAUGUAGUUUACCCUAAUUUUAAAAAAAUAAUUUUAUUAGAUAAUAUUUAUUUUCUUUAUUUAUUUUUAUCAAUAUACCAAAUAAUUUUCUAAUAUAAAUUUAGUAUUAAAAAUUUUGGCACUUAAUUUUUAUGUUUAUCAAUCAACACCUCGCUCUUAAUGAAUAAUAUAAAGGACACAAAAAAUUUAAGGAAAAAAAAAACAAAUUUAAUUAAUAUCAAACAGAUUUGAAUUGUAAAUAGACUUGUUCACAGGUUACUCGUUUAGGCCCAAAGGCCCGUGUGAAACUUGGGAGAGUUUCAAUAAAAAUAUUAGGCCUAGAAAUGGGCUUGAGCAAAAAAAUGAGACCCGUUUAAAAUAAGGGUUGGACUUAAGUUUGAACAUUCAAGGCCCGACCCGACCUAUUUUUAAGUUUAUAAUACUUUAUAUUAUAUUAUUUUCUUAUAUGAUGUAAUUUAGAACACAUUUAAAAAAAAUAAUCAUAUACUAAAUAUAUAAUAUUACUCUAAUGUGAAUAUUAAAAUAAAGUUAAGACGACUAUAUAAAAAAUUUCAAUAAAUAAAAAAUGUAUAAAAUUAUUAAAUAUUAAAAUAAUAUAAUAUAAAUAUUUUUUAAAAAAUAUGGACAGGCCUAAAAUGGGUUUGAACUAGUCUUUUACAAAUAUGGACUAAUUUAGACAAAAUUUUAAGCUCAUAUUUUAGGUCGGGUCGAGCUGGGGUAAGUAUAAAAUAUAUUAAUAUCAUGCUUAAGAUCGGCCCGACCCGGCUCAUGAACACCUCUAAUUGUAAUGUAGUAUUAUGGUAUCAAAAUUCUUUUCACAAGAGAAAUAUUAAUUUAGAAAGGAAUAUUUGCUUAUCUAACAUUUUAAUUUUAUAAAAAAAAAUCAUUUUAAUUAUUCAUUUAAUUUUUCGCUCCUUUUAAUUUUUAAAAUUGCAUUAUUUGUUAAAUCACCCUAAAAUAGAUAGAAAGGUUAAGGUUUUUUUAACUUUGUUAGUGUGACAUGCAUGUAGAUUGCCAUAUGGAUACCACAUCAGCAAUUAAUUAAUUUUUUUAAAAUUUAUAAAAUUAUAAAAUUUAUUUUAAAAAAUUUAAAACUAUUAAAAUUAUUAAAUUAUGAAAAAAUUAAUUUUUUAAAAAAUAAUUAAUUAAUGAUGUGACAUAUACUUGAACUGCUACAUGGAUGUCACGUCAAUAAGGUUAACAAACAUUAAUUUUUCUAUCUAUUUUAGAGUGAUUUGACAAAAAAUAUAAGAUCAAAGGCUAAAAGAAACGAAAAAUUAAAUGGAGGGAUAAAAUGAUUUUUUUUAUAAAGUUGGAACCUUAGAAAUGCAUGUUCGAACCUUAGAGAUCACAUUGUUGGAAAGAGUAACCACGAACUUCUAACAUGAUUUGUAAAACGGACAUAAUAAAUGAAUAAAUAAGGUGAAAUAUACACUUUUAAGCCAAAUAUAUAUUAAUUUUCAUUUUUCAAACACUUACCGGUUUGUAAAGUUAGAUGUACACCAAUGUGUCGUAAUUUCUAAUCUCAAACUCUAAUAUUUGCCUAUAAAAAGAAUUUAAGAAAUACUAAGAUGACAAAUGUGUCAAAAUAGUGAGGACUUUAUCAAUAAAUAUUACAUAAAAAAAAGGUGAACCUACCUCUAAAUUUUGUAAAAAUGCGGUUUGUUUUUAAAUUUUUAAAUAUUUAGGCUGAUUUAUGUGAUAUUUAGCUCGAUUUUGGAAAGAAAAUACGAAAAUGUGUUCAGCAGAGCUUUCAAUGAGAUGGUUAAAUAUUAGUAUUUUUUUCUUAAGUCUCGGGUUCAAUUUCUCUUCUAUUCACAUUUAUAUUUUUUAUUUCAUGUUGCUUCAACCUUUUAAUAUUUUUAAUUUAAUAUUUUUAACAUAUUAACUCUUUUAAUCAAACGGUUAGAUAAUUACAAUUACAUUUUUAUGUCCCCGGUUCUAUUAUUUUUAUAAACAUAUUAAUAUAUUUUUUUAUUUUAUAUUGUUUCAAGCUUUUUUUAUUAUUUAAAUAAUUAUCUAAUUAAAUGAGUUAAUAUGUUAAAAUAUUAAUUAAAAAUUAUAAAAAAAUUGAAGCAACAUGAAAUAAAAAAUAUAAAUAUCAGUAGGAGAGAAAUCAAACUCGAAACUCAGGGAUAAAAACAUUAAUAUUUAACUAUCUAGCCAAAUGAGAUGAUUUGUUAAAAAAGUCAAGUGGUGGCCAUAAAACGUGCCCUGCAUUUUCAGUUAAAAAGCGUUCAACUGGACGCGUUUUUGCCUUCUUUCUCUAAAAUCGGUUUAAUUAUUAAUUCAAAAUUAAAAUUUCAAAUAUACAUUUAAAUUACAAUUAAAGUUUCAUCUGUAUAGUUGCGCACCAAAUUAAAAUUUAUAUAUACAAUUACAUUAAAUCAAAAUUGAUAUAUAAUUUUCAAAUUUAUCCCUAAAAAAAAAUCAACAACUACUGCUCUCUUCCCUCCUUUGCUCACACUCCAGGUGAGAAAAACCUUCUUUUCUCACUAUCAAAAGCCCCCAAAAACAAAGGGAUUUUAAUAAAAAGGGGAAACCAGUGAUUAUGUUUUUAGAGUUUGGGGUUAAGCUAGUUGGGAUUACCUGCAAAAUAGGCUAAUACACCCACGAAGGGUGCAUUAAUGUAAGUAGUAGGCUCUGAUUUCCUAAAAUCAGCUCUGUCAUCAUCAUAAACAUCAUCUUCUCCAGGCCCUCCAACAAUUGCACCAACCAAAACAUUUGGGUUAGGAUUAGUUGAAUUAAAAUAAGUGGAACCUUCCUUGCAAGCUAUAAACUGAGGAUGAUCUUUCACCGACGGUAAAGAAGACCCUCGGUGAUGAAUCCGUUGCGGGAAACGGUUUCCGUAACCAACCAUGUACGAUAACCCCAUUGGGUUAUGACCUAAAAUGUAAUCGGCUUGGUUCUUUGCUAUAGUUCGAAGAGAUAACGGGGAGGCAAUUAGGUUACCGCAGUUGACUGUUUGUGAAGUACGAUCGAGGUAAUUAGCGUAAACGAGCAGAAGGAACGAAGUCGUGGUCGCAUGCUGCAAGUUGCUGCCUCCGGGCUUGUAGAUGAGGCCGCCGGGAGUGUAGUCGAUGUGGGACGACGAUGAAUCGGGGAUUAGUGUGCACAUAAAGCUAUCUGCUGACACCUUGUAUGAUUGCAGGGAGUACAUGUUUCCUUCUAAAGCUUCCUGAAAAACAAGGGGACCCAUGUGAUGUCCCAAAGAAAAUCUCUAAAUUAUGAUUUUAGUCCUUCUACUAUGUUACAAUUUGCGAUUUGAUACAUUUACUUUCAUUUGACCUAAUUAGACCGAAAUAAAAGAAGUUAAAUUAGAGGAGGCUUGACCUUGGAGACAAGAACGUUUAGACCAGUAUGCUUAUUGUCCCAUCCAAAUUCAUUGAUGUUGUCAUCGGCACCAAGGGUUUUGCCAUUGAUUUCGAUGUAAUUAAGGUAAGAGUUGUCUUGCGAGGCCCUCCUUAACCAUGCUGCUCCCCAUAGUAAUUCAUCCUGAUUAAAAAUUUUAUAAAUUAUAAAAGUUUUAUUUUCCAUGUUAGGGUGGCCGGCAACUACCAGCGGGCCGCCACUGAGUUUAGUUAAUUUUUCACUUACUUGAUAGCCGCUAAAAUCGCAGUAAAAUGGGCAGGCGCCGUCUCGAACAUUAGAAUUGUCACUAUAAGCACCUCUAAAGUUGUCAGCAUAUUGAAAAACCAGAACAGAAUUCCGUAACAAUGUCUGGGCAUACCCUGGGUCCACUGAUCUGAACGCCAUGGAUGAAGCUGCAAGAGCGGCCGCCGUCUCUGCCGCCACUUCGGAAGCCGGGUUCGGUGCAUCCACUGCAUAAACCGUCCUCGCAGUAUCCAUAUCUUCAGGUCUUUCCCAACAGUUAUGGUCCUUAUAUGGAUCUCCAACCUAAAUUCACAAGAAAAAUUGAUUUACUUAGAUUAGUAUUUGUUAGGAUCGUCCCGAUUAAGCAACGAACAAGUAAAAAUAGUAGAAGAAAUUGAGAAGAUGAACACACAAAUUUAACGUGAAAAACCCCUCAAAAGAGGAUAAAAAACCACGGGCAAAGAUAAUUUUACUAUAAUGGCAAAAGAAUGAAGAGUACAAAAGAUGGAGAUAAAAACUAAACCCCGAAAACCCGAAAAACAAAGAACCCUCAAACGUAAACACAAAAUUCUCUGAAUGUGUUAUGAGUUCUAAUCUAAUGGGUGUCUCUCGUUUUAAGAUUGUAAAGGAGCCUAUUUAUAGGCUAAAUUAGUAAGUCAAAUAAACUAUACUAAUAAAUGCUAAAUAUAUUAUACUAAUAAAUACUAAAUCUUCUAGAAAGAAAAUAUAUUUUUGUUUAACUUGACUUGCAAGCAAUCUCUUAGAAUUUGGGUCACACAAUUCUAACAAUCUCCACCUUGACACGAAUUCUUUCAAUGCCAUCUUUGCCAAAACCCACCACGGGCCUAUCUUGAACUAUGCAGGGAAUUAACUGAGUCGAAUCUAUGCUUAGAAGCUGGAAGACUUCUAGCCUUCGACUUGUGCACUGCCAAAUCAAAACUAACCCGGGUCUGAUUUUUACGAAUACAGUGCCCUAACUUUUCAAAACCUGCAUCCAAAAGAGAACCUCUCUUCAACGAAACGGUCAUACCUUUUUCCCUCCUAUGACCAAGUUGCCUCCGCUUCAAAUGAGUUGACUUUGACUCCGUAACGGACGAGGGACGUCCGAUUUCACCGGUCACUGUAGAACCUUCCAGAAUAUAAAGACUGCCGGUUCUUUUACCUUUUAACAAAACGAGAGCUCCACGAGAUACUUUAAUGUCGCUCGACUCGAUGUUGAUUCUGCAUCCUUUCAAGUCUAAAAUACUCAAGGAGAUGAGAUUCUUUCGUAAAUCAGGUACAUACCUGACAUCUGAGAGUGUCCUAAUUGUCCUAUCGUGUAUCCUAAUUUUAACAGUACCAAUACCGAUUAUUUUACUAGAUGAAUCGUUUCCCAUGUGCACAACUCCACCUUCAACCGAACUGUAUGUGGAGAACCAUUCUCUAUUGGGACACAUGUGGAAAGAACAUCCUGAAUCUAGGAUCCACUCAGACGUAAGCUUGGAGUUAUCGCUCGUUGACACUAACAAUAAAUCAUCACCGCCUUCAUCGACCAAAUUAGCACCAACUACAUCUUCCUCGUUACUCUCAGCAGCUCUUUUAUUUCGCAGUUUAUAACAAUCAGCUUUGACGUGACCUAACUUUUUGCAAUAGCGACACCUUUUGUCUCGUUUCUUUGAUGCUACCAAAACGGAAGCUUGUCUAUCUGCUUUGCUAUUCAAAUCAAACUCAUUGUCGAGUUUGUCUCUACUCAACAAAUGACCCUUCACAUCUUCGAACGAGAGUUUGUCUCUGCCAUAAAUCAGGGUCUCCCUGAAAGACUUGUAUGAAGAGGGUAAAGAGCACAAUAAUAGCAUAGCUUGAUCUUCAUCGUCAAUAUGAACCUCAACGUUCUUUAAAUCAUUUAAAAGAGUAAUGAAUUGACUGAUGUGAUCUUUAAGAAGCUCACCUUCGUUCAUGCGAAACGUAAAUAGACGUUGUUUCAACACUAAACAGUUAGCCAGAGACUUAGUCGCAUAAAGAGUUUCUAACCUUUUCCACAAGGCGAAUGAGGUCUUCUCCAUCAAUACCUCCUGCAAUACUGUAUUCGCGAGGCAAAACUGGAUUGCAGACAAGGCCUUUUCAUCAAGCUCUUCCCAUUCUGUUUGAUUUAGAUUCUCAGGCUUUUUCCCUGUAACAACCUUUUUCAAGCCAUUUUGAACUAGAAUUGCCAUCAUCCGAACUUGCCACAGAUUGAAAUUUGUCUCACCAUCGAACUUCUCAAUUUCAAACAUUGUUGCUGCCAUCUCUGACCAGGCUGAUCUAUGAAAGUUAAACUAGCUCUGAUACCACUUGUUAGGAUCGUCCCGAUUAAGCAACGAACAAGUAAAAAUAGUAGAAGAAAUUGAGAAGAUGAACACACAAAUUUAACGUGAAAAACCCCUCAAAAGAGGAUAAAAAACCACGGGCAAAGAUAAUUUUACUAUAAUGGCAAAAGAAUGAAGAGUACAAAAGAUGGAGAUAAAAACUAAACCCCGAAAACCCGAAAACAAAGAACCCUCAAACGUAAACACAAAAUUCUCUGAAUGUGUUAUGAGUUCUAAUCUAAUGGGUGUCUCUCGUUUUAAGAUUGUAAAGGAGCCUAUUUAUAGGCUAAAUUAGUAAGUCAAAUAAACUAUACUAAUAAAUGCUAAAUAUAUUAUACUAAUAAAUACUAAAUCUUCUAGAAAGAAAAUAUAUUUUUGUUUAACUUGACUUGCAAGCAAUCUCUUAGAAUUUGAGUCACACAAUUCUAACAAUCUCCACCUUGACACGAAUUCUUUCAAUGCCAUCUUUGCCAAAACCCACCACGGGCCUAUCUUGAACUAUGCAGGGAAUUAACUGAGUCGAAUCUAUGCUUAGAAGCUUGAAGACUUCUAGCCUUCGACUUGUGCACUGCCAAAUCAAAACUAACCCGGGUCUGAUUUUUACGAAUACAGUGCCCUAACUUUUCAAAACCUGCAUCCAAAAGAGAACCUCUCUUCAACGAAACGGUCAUACCUUUUUCCCUCCUAUGACCAAGUUGCCUUCGCUUCAAAUGAGUUGACUUUGACUCCGUAACGGACGAGGGACGUCCGAUUUCACCGGUCACUGUAGAACCUUCCAGAAUAUAAAGACUGCCGGUUCUUUUACCUUUUAACAAAACGAGAGCUCCACGAGAUACUUUAAUGCCGCUCGACUCGAUGUUGAUUCUGCAUCCUUUCAAGUCUAAAAUACUCAAGGAGAUGAGAUUCUUUCGUAAAUCAGGUACAUACCUGACAUCUGAGAGUGUCCUAAUUGUCCCAUUCGUGUAUCCUAAUUUUAACAGUACCAAUACCGAUUAUUUUACUAGAUGAAUCGUUUCCCAUGUGCACAACUCCACCUUCAACCGAACUGUAUGUGGAGAACCAUUCUCUAUUGGGACACAUGUGGAAAGAACAUCCUGAAUCUAGGAUCCACUCAGACGUAAGCUUGGAGUUAUCGCUCGUUGACACUAACAAGAAAUCAUCACCGCCUUCAUCGACCAAAUUAGCACCAGCUACAUCUUCCUCGUUACUCUCAGCAGCUCUUUUAUUUCGCAGUUUAUAACAAUCUGCUUUGACGUGACCUAACUUUUUGCAAUAGCGACACCUUUUGUCUCGUUUCUUUGAUGCUAUCAAAACGGAAGCUUGUCUAUCUGCUUUGCUAUUCAAAUCAAACUCAUUGUCGAGUUUGUCUCUACUCAACAAAUGACCCUUCACAUCUUCGAACGAGAGUUUGUCUCUGCCAUAAAUCAGGGUCUCCCUGAAAGACUUGUAUGAAGAGGGUAAAGAGCACAAUAAUAGCAUAGCUUGAUCUUCAUCGUCAAUAUGAACAUCAACGUUCUUUAAAUCAUUUAAAAGAGUAAUGAAUUGACUGAUGUGAUCUUUAAGAAGCUCACCUUCAUUCAUGCGAAACGUAAAUAGACGUUGUUUCAACACUAAACGGUUAGCCAGAGACUUAGUCGCAUAAAGAGUUUCUAACCUUUUCCACAAGGCGAAUGAGGUCUUCUCCAUCAAUACCUCCUGCAAUACUGUAUUCGCGAGGCAAAACUGGAUUGCAGACAAGGCCUUUUCAUCAAGCUCUUCCCAUUCUGUUUGAUUUAGAUUCUCAGGCUUUUUCCCUGUAACAACCUUUUUCAAGCCAUUUUGAACUAGAAUUGCCAUUAUUCGAACUUGCCACAGAUUGAAAUUUGUCUCACCAUCGAACUUCUCAAUUUCAAACCUUGUUGCUGCCAUCUCUGACCAGGCUAAUCUAUGAAAGUUAAACUAGCUCUGAUACCACUUGUUAGGAUCGUCCCGAUUAAGCAACGAACAAAUAAAAAUAGUAGAAGAAAUUGAGAAGAUGAACACACAAAUUUAACGUGAAAAACCCCUCAAAAGAGGAUAAAAAACCACGGGCAAAGAUAAUUUUACUAUAAUGACAAAAGAAUGAAGAGUACAAAAGAUGGAGAUAAAAACUAAACCCCGAAAACCCGAAAAAUAAAGAACCCUCAAACGUAAACACAAAAUUCUCUGAAUGUGUUAUGAGUUCUAAUCUAAUGGGUGUCUCUCGUUUUAAGAUUGUAAAGGAGCCUAUUUAUAGGCUAAAUUAGUAAGUCAAAUAAACUAUACUAAUAAAUGCUAAAUAUAUUAUACUAAUAAAUACUAAAUCUUCUAGAAAGAAAAUAUAUUUUUGUUUAACUUGACUUGCAAGCAAUCUCUUAGAAUUUGGGUCACACAAUUCUAACAGUAUUUCAUGUCAUUUUCACUUUGGGUUCUGUUUCUUUUCUUCAGAUGAUAUUGCUAUUAGCUAGCAACAACUCCCAUACAAAAAUUUCAAGAGCAGGUGGCUACUGUCAAAUGCGUAUCCCAAGAAUGGAAGAAAAAAAAAGUAGGAUUUUCCGGGAAAAUUUUGUUAGUAAACGACAACCAUGCACUAGAACCAUAGCCGAUAAUCACGUUUUUACCCACUCAAACCACUGAAAUGAAAGGGCCAUUACCAUUGCUGCUACUGGCAGAGCACUAAAGAGUACAGUGUAGAAGAAAUGAACAAUUUUAACUCAACCGAGAUGAGCAAAAUCCGAAGUUAGACUUAAACUGCAAUGGAGUUUACUAAAUACCUGAACGAAAAUCCGGUUAGGCUGAGAGACAGUUUUAAGCAAAUAAUCAGUACCCCAACGGAUGGCCACAAGGGCAUUUCUAAGUUCACUUGGCGGCAUUAAUUCUCCAAACUCAAUCACGCUCCAAGCCAACAUCGUCGUCGUGAAAGCCAUCGGGAAACCGAACUUAACAUUGUCGCCGGCGUCGAAAUAUCCGCCAGUUAAGUCCAUGCUGUACAUGGAACGGCCAUCGCUCAAUCCCGAAUCCUCCCUCCAUUUCAUACGUUGGUCCCGGGGCAGAACACCAGAACGCUGCCCCUCGAAAAACAGAAUCGAUUUCGACAAUGCAUCGGAGUAAUCAUGGUGACCGCAACGAACCAAAGGGGAAAAAACAAGGGAAACGAAAAGAAAAAACUGCUGACGAUGAUGAUGGUGAAGAAGAAAAAGAAGAACAUAAUGGAAUUUCAUGGGGUUUGUUUUGAGGAAUAGGAUUUGGGGUGUCUGGGUCUUUUGCUUUAAUGCCUGGUUUAUUAUAUAUUAGAUUAAGGGGGGGACGAGAAGUCACGAGGGAGAGUGGAAAGACUUUGCUUAUAAUGUGAGUAGGAGUGGGGAAAGCGAAAGCGCCGACACUUAUUUGGGGUUUUUAUAUUUGUCAGUGAAGGAGUUCACAUGCAUCGCGAAACGUGAAUGCACAAUUUGCUGGUAAGUAAAACAAAUACGGCCAAAGCAGACAAUGGAGUGUAGGUGGAGGACUAGGAGACCAUUUGGCAUUUGCUCUUUAGAUACCCAAAUUCGAAUGCUAUUUGCUUAUAUGUACUGCAAAAUCGUAUGUUCAAUAGUUCUGGCUUGCUGGCUCCAUCACUCUACUCAUAAGAGCAGAACGAGGGACAGCAUUACAGAUUACGGUUAACCAAAUGACCCAAAUUGCUAUUAUAGUGAUUCGCUCAAAACUACCAUUACAUUCUAAUAAACCUCAGUAACAGAUGUAUAGAAAAUGAAUUAGGUUAUUUUGUUGUUGUCAGUCGAACCCAAACUACCCUGGCCUUUAAGCAGUCUCAGAAACUGUGCAUUAGGGUUUCAAUUGUUGAACCAUAACACGAGCAUCUAUUCGAGGCUGCUAAGUGUCCCCGAGAUAACUUGCCUAUUGUAGGAAGCAACUCUUAAGCAAACAUCCAUAGAUAGCAUAAUUUUUUUUUUGAGGUAGUUUUAGGGUUAUUAUGAACUAAUUAAGAAGAGAAUGCCUGAACAUAUAUAAUAUGUAAUCGAAUUCUGACUUUAUAUCUAUUUAGUAGAUUGUUAUUAAAUCACAGGGUUAAAUCACUGAAAGUAUAUAUAUAUAAUUAAUGUGACGAUAUUGAUUCCUUUAAAAAAAAAUUUAAAGUGUUAUCCCUCAAAUAAUUAAUCGAUUACUCUUAACAAAGUUAAGGUAUUGUUUCGUAUUGAGAUUUUAGAUGUAAUAUUUACAGAUAAGGAUUAAAUUUCUCUGCAUAUAAGGAUUAAGUGAGAGUGUAGAAUGUUAUAUUAUAAUAUAUUUCAACAAAAAGAAAUGUUGGAGGUUUUGUCUUGAAAUUUGAUAAGCAAAUGGGGUAUCCAAGAAUGUAGGUAACAUUUUAAGGGUGAGGACAAAGAGCUGCAAUAUAUUCUUAUCCCAUACCCCAACAUGGCCAAAAGGGGCGGUGCUGCUGCUUUAUGCUUUUAUAAUACAUAAAUAAAAAAUAUUUAAUUACGAGUAGUUUUAAAUUUUGUGAUCAGCAUCUGUUUUCUUAACAAGCUUAAAGGAUGUAAAAAAAUAGUUAUUGAGUUUGUUUCGAUAAAUAUCUUGAGAAAUAAAUUUAAAAAAAAAAGAAUAAUUACUUACAACGAAAUAAAAUUUUUUAUUUGAGAUAUUAGGAUAAUUAUUUGAUAUUAUGUUAGUAGAGUUUUUUUUAUACUUUAGAAGUGGGUUGGGAGUUUUACAAGUGUCACUUUAUUACUUGUCUUUUUUUUAUUUUAUUUUUGGGUAAACUGCAAAAAUAGUCACUUUUGUUUGUUUCAGGUUACGUUUUAGUCACUUAUGUUUGAAAUGUUACGUUUUAGUCACUUAUGCUAUUAUUUUGUUACGAAAUGAUCACUCUUCCAUUAAGUUCCGUUAUCUCCCUAACAGUAAUCCUACUUGGCAGUCCAACUAGAUUUUAAGUGCCAACUUGAAUUUCCUAAUGAGAUGAGAAUAGAUUUUUUAUUAAAUAAAUUUAAUUAAUUAAAAUUUUAAACCCUAAAUCUUAGUUAAAAAACCGUUCAUCUCCCCUUUUUUUAGUUUUCUUUUUCGAUUGACUAAAAAAGCUAUUAUCAUCAAAAAAAUUUAUUCACGUAUGAAAACAAAAGAGGAUUCAAUGGAAGGUCCAAGUAUGUCUUCUUCACCGACAAAUUUAUGUUCUAAAACUUAAAAUGAAGUGGUUGUCGACAAAUAAGAAUAUGGUAAUCAUUUUUGUUCCUAAUCAUUGUAUUUUCCAAUUCUUCACGUUCUUGAAUAAUUAGUUUCUCAAUCCGAUUUUUUUUAUCUGAAUCGACUUGUUUGUUCACAAUCCCUUUGUGGGUAUCCCUUUUUUUUCUGAUUUGAAAUUCUUUUAGUUGUUAAUAUUCAUAUUAAGAAUUUUAAUUUAGGGUUUUCAUUAAACAAUAAAAAAAUCAAAUCUUUUGUUUUUCAGUAUUGAAUAAAAGAGAUAGAGGAAUGCAAAGAAGACAUACCUGAACCCUCCAUUGAAUCCAUCUUUAUGAAGUAGUCAAUUUGAUUUCAACUAUUUUAAUCUUAAUAAAGUUUUUCCAAUCAAAUGAAAAAAAAAACCAUUGAAAAAAAGAAGAGACUGAAGAAAAAUUAAAAAGAGGAGAUGAACAUAUUUUUUAGUUAAGGUUUAGGUUUAAAAUUUUUAAUUAAUUAAUUUUUGUAAUUAAAAAUAUUUUUUCAUCCCAUUUAGAAAUUCAAGUUGGCAUCUAAAAUCUAGUUGGACUGUCACGUAGGAUUACCGUUAGAGAGAUAAUGGAACUUAACGGUAGAGUGAUCACUUCGUAACAAAAUAGUAACAUAAGUGACUAAAACGUAACAUUUCAAACAUAAGUGACUAAAAUGUAACCUGAGGCAAACAAAAGUGACUAUUUUUGUAGAUUAUCCUUUAUUUUUAUGAAAAGCAUAUGGUAAUAUCUUAACAAGGAAAAUAUUCAGUAUAUUGUUAGUGAAAUUUUUAGACUAUAAGUCAAGGGAUUAUCAUAUGUCUUGGGGGUACACUAAAAUAUUUAAAAUAAAUAAAUAUUUAAAAAAAUGACACAUGAUAAUUUUUUAAAACGAUUUGUAGAAUAAAAAAAAUACACUAUUAAUGUACCGAAUAUUAACCCUAUCUUAAAUUUAUUUAUGAAAUUGUUUUUAUUUCACUCACAUAUAGAAAUAAUAGAAUAACCAUCUAACUUUAAUUUGAAUGUUAAAAAAAAUAGCAUUUGAUAGACAGAUAAUAAAAUAUAUUAAUUUCAUAAACAAAGUUAAAAUAUUGCCAAAUGCCCAUUUUUAAUACUUAUUUUAUUUAUUAGGUAUGUGUUAAAUAAAUUUUUAAGGGUGUGUUUAGACGAGGGAUUUAAAGAAAUAAUUUUAUUUGUAUCAAAGUUUUUAAAAUUGUAAAAAUAAAUUUACUUAUUUAGGUAAAAUUUUUGAAAAAUUUCAAAAUUAGAGGGAAUUUUAAUAUCUCAAUUUCCCUAUUCAAAUUCCACUUAAUUUUUCUAAUUUUAUUGCAUUUAAUAAACAUGGCCUCUAAUAAAUACUAAAACUUCAAAAAUCAUUUUUAUUUAAUUUUAAUAUAUAUUUUUAAAAAAAUAUUUUAUUAAAAUUAAUUAUAAUUUUUUAUAGUUAUAAUGAUAUACAUUUUGAAUAUGUUUUAUAUUAUGUUUAAUAUAAUUAUUAUUCUUUAAUUCAUUAAAAUCUAAUACCCUAAAAAUUUUUAAAAUUAUUAUUUAUUUAAAAAUAAUAAUUAUAAUCGUUAGCAUUUUGAAUUGAUGAAAUCUAAAAUGCAAACAUUUUAAAAAUCUUCGAAUUUCUAAAUUCUUCAUCUAAACACUCUCUAAAUAGAUAAAGAUAGUUAUUCUAUUUAUAAAUUCUUUCACUAGGUUGGUGUUACGAAUUAAUCAUUUAACUCAAUUGGAAAAAUAUCAAAUUUAUUAUUAUUAUUUUUAAUGUUUAGCACUUAAAAUUUAUCAUUUUGGGAGCAAUUUAGGGGUGAGUAUUUGAUCGAUCGAGUCGAGUUGAAUCGAGAAAAUUUUUUUGAGUUAGUCGAGUUGAUGAAUCAUAUUUUAGCAACCGAACUCAAUUUUAAUUUUUUUCGAAUCGGAUUGAAUUGAGUCAAAAAAUUUCGAGUCAAGUCGAGUCUAGUUAACGAAUCCUAUUAUUUAUACUCAAUGUUGCGUUUACAUGUACCAAUUAUUUAACUAGUAAACGAAGUAUAAAAUUAUUUAACUACAUAAACAAUAUAAUGGUUUUACCUUUUAACUUAAUGAGUAAACAUUUAUAAAAAACAACGUAGUUUUGCCUUUUAACUUUAGAAAAGGUAAACAUUUAUCAAAAUAGUGUAGUUUUACAUUUUCGUAUUCGGAUUUUUGGAUAACUCAAAAUUUUGUAAGUCAUAUUCGAGUUAAACCGAAAAACUUAAUUUUUUUUAUUCGAGUUUAUCCAAAUAACUUGAUUAACUCAAAUAACUCGAACUAUUUAAUUCAAAAUUUGAAAAUUUAUCGAGUUUUUCUAAUCGAAUCGGAUUUUGCUUACCCCUAAGACAAUGGCACUGAUCAUCAAAUCAAUAGUUGAAGUUCAUAUAUUUAUGAACGUUGUAAGAAUCAAACAAGUAAUCAAAUCAAUUAGUCCAUCAAUUUUUGACUCAAUUAGUACAAAAGAAUAAAAAAAUGAAAAAUUAAUAAAAAGAAAUUCUAUAUUUUGGAUAAUACAUAUAAACCAAAAUAAAUAACCAAAAACAUAUUUUAAAAUCGGUACAUACGUUUUUAGCUAUUCUUUUGUUUCGAUUUUUAAUUACCAGUUAACAACGGUUCUAAAUCUUUUCAGGCACCAAUCAAAUAGAUUAAUCGAUUCGAUUCUAACAACAUUAAUAUUUAUCAAUAAUUAGACAAACUAUUUAAUUUUAUAAACUAUGAGGACUGAAUUUGAAGAAAUUUAAGUAAAGGGAUUAAUUUUUCUAUUUACAAGUAAAUUCCAAACAUAAAAUUCAUUUGUAAAAUUAUAGAAGUACUAAAAAUAUCAAUUAUAUCAACAUUUUUAUUUUUUAAUAAAUAAUUACUUUUAAGUUUUCAUAAAAUCAUUUUAAAUAUCAGUUAUAUAUGGUUUAUAUAUAUUGAUAAAAAAACCAUUAAACAAUUUUUUACUAUCAAUGCUUAGAUAAAAGAAAUAAUAUUUUAAGUAAUUUUGAAAGAAAAAUAAUACUUAGGUUAAUUAUUACCAAAUAUAUAUCUAAGAGUAAUUAAAAUUUUUAUUUUUUUAAUUUUUAAAAGUAAAUAUAAGAUUAUUUAAUAAUUUAGCUUUUACAAAUUUUUACUUGAGGGACAAGGAAAUCGGGAAUGGACUAGACGGAAUUCCUUUUGUUGGGACGAAGCAAAACUAUUCCCCAUACGUCAGUCUAGGUCUAAUUUUGCUUUCAAUCUCUUUACUUUUCAAGUAUUUGAAAUUUAGUCCUUUUAUUUGUAAUUGCAGGAAUGCAUUAUCUUAUUGUUUAGAUUUAAUCAUUGAAAUCCAAUUGAUAGUACCAUUAAAAUAAUUUCAUUAAAUUGAAUUAUGCAGUUUUUUCUUUCUAAAAAAAGUUUGAUCAUAUAACCGUGUGGAAGCCAUGUAAGCAAAAGAGAAGUAUUUACUUUUAUUCUAUGUUUCGAUAAUAGCGAUAUUGAAUUUAGAAUCGAAAGCUUUCUAAUCUCAAAUUCAAUAUUUUAUUUGCUUAUUCCGCAUUUCACCCAUGCAACAUUGGUUACAUGAGGAUUUUUUUUUAAUAAAAUGUCAUAUAAUCAGUUAUGAUAUUUAUUAUUAUUGGCCCGCUAUUUGAUUGGGUUCUGACCCGCACUCUACACGGUUCGUACAUUGAGUUCAUGUGUAAAGUGUUCGCACCCUUUUAUGAGAUGGCACGAUUUGGGUCCACACCAUCAUAUAGGGCAAACCCACAUCGUAUAAACACAUGUUAACAUUAUAAUAAGAUAUGUGUCGAUGUGCAUGUUAACCUACCUAUUAUAUCACAUCUAUGACUAAUAACCGUAUAAUAUAAAUACAUAGUUUAACCCAUUUGGAGAUGAUACACGCAUAAAUACUCAAUAUGAUCCAAUAUAAAAGAGACUAAACUGAAAAUAUGUGAAAGACUAGAGGAACAAAAAAUAAAGAGGAUAAUGCCUUUUAAUUAUAAUCCUAAAUUCCCAACAUAUUUCAACAAUUAAGUUCCAUUUCCUUCCCUAUUUCUCAACUAACCAUUCUCCCCCAUAAGCCGCGUCUUUCUCCGCCUCUUGCAAAGGAAGAGAAAAGAUUCUUUUCAAUCGAUCAUGGCGUCUCUAUAAAAUUGUCUUUUUUAUAUUUUUUCUCUUCUUCGUUCCGCGAUUGGAAUCAUUGAGUUUUUCUCCUUUUCCUCGUGGCCAAUUUCGUUUUUUCUUUUUUUCAUUUCCUUUUUCUUUUGAUUCGAAGCAAAAAUGAGCGCGUAUAAGCGCGUGGUACAGUUAGGGUUCAAUGCGUAUUCGAGUUCCACUGUGAACAGGGUCGGGCACCGGCAGAUUUCUCAACUCGUGAAAUCCAAUGGAAAGCGUGCAUUUCUCGUCGAUACAUUGGCUCUGGUACGUCAUUUCCCUUUUCCUUACUUUAUUUCGUUUCAAUUUCCUGUUUGGUUGUCGAGAAAACCUAGGAAUAACGACGAAUUUAAUCUCUUUCGAUUAGGAAAGUAAAUUUGAAUCUGUUUCCUGGUUAAUUCGACUGGAAUCGUUUUUUGCUUAACGAUUCGGCAUUUAUUUUGAUUAUUUUACGAAAAAAGUUAGUAAUGGAACUCUUGGAUUUGGGUUUCCUCUGUUAACUUUCAGUUGUUUUUAUACUAAUAGGUUCGGAGUUUGGAAGCGCAAGGCGUGCCAUCAAAACAAGCGGAGGCAAUAACAUCAGCAAUCACGGAAGUAUUGAACGACAGCUUGGAGAAUGUGUCCCAGUCCUUUGUUUCAAAGGCAGAAAUGCAGAAAGUAAGUUUGGUGAUGUUUUUGUAAUUGUUACCAUGUUUUCUAGAUCAUUUGUGUUCAUUGCGAGUGUGUUGAUACUAAAUUUUGCUUUAUUUUACCUCUUGUAGUCUGAGAUGCUUCAAGAAGCCAAUUUGUCCAAGUUUAAAUCGGAAGUAAAAAGUUCCCAGGUACAAAUUUAUACGUUUAACAAAAAACUAAGUGGCAAAGAAGAAGGAAGAAAUUUAUGUUAUGUGCUAAUAUCAUUAUUUGGAACUUGCCAUUUGACGAAGUGAUCACUUCAAUCUGUCUCUUAUUGACUCUAAUAUUUGGGAUUCUUUAGAAAUUUCAUUAGUGGCAAACGCUGAAAUCUCGUACCUAGUUCAAUUUGAACUAAUGAUGUAACACUGCAUAAGUGUUUGUUUCAUUUUGUUCCUUUCUUGUGUGUCAACUCAAUAUUGCUGUUUGUGAGGCUGGGUAGGCUCGGGGUUAUCCAGAUACUAUGUGCUUUUUAGUGCCCCUUUUUUCCUAGCACUUUUUCCUUUUCCCUUUCUCAGAUGUAGAUAAAGAAAGAGGUGAAGAAGAUGGAAGUGGGAAUGACAAAUCUUGUAUUAAUGGUGAAAUGUAGGCUAGAGAACACUACAAGUUGGGGUAGCAUUAGAUGGAUAUUUGAAGUUCAGGUGACGAUGCUUCGGCAAAAGAAAACCAUGAGGUUUUGGAACUAAACUAAGCUUAACUAUUGACAACAUAUUAAGUUUUAAGUUCAAAAGUUAUCCUAAGAUGGAGUGCCUGUGUAGAAUGGAGAUACUCUCUUGGUAGAUCUUUAAUCGGAUCAAUGUUGAAAUUAUCAUACUGAACCCUUUGUGGAAAGAUUUUUCAUGUGAAUAGAUUUCAUUUGCAGAGUUCACUGUAUAUUUUAACUUCUGCAGUCAAUUAACAACUUCAUCCAUAUAAAAAAAUACACAAAUAUUUUUGCCCUUGUAUGUACUUUUACUCCUUUCCAUCUUACUUUGGCUAAAAUAUGUAGUUCUUUGGGUUUACUGCGAUGUCAUUCUGGUGAAACCAGAACUAGUGAUUUGUUCAGUUGAAAUAUAGUUGUGUUCAUUGCAAUCUGAGCUACAUCAUGCCUCUUCCUUGCUUAGUGUUCUUUGAUGGCCAAUUUUUUUUUUUUUGUUCUCUUUUUCUCAUGUAAAUGUCUUUCUUGGAAUAAAUGAUUCUUAAUGUUCUCUUUAGUUCAUACUCGUUUAUUCUUUCUUAAUGGCUAUUUCCUUGUAAUGCAGGAGCAUCAUUUUUCUAUGUUGCAACGUGAAACUGAGAAACUUCGAGGUGACAUUGAGAAGAUGCGAAGUGAACUAAGGUAUGUUCUCUGGAUUAGAGUUGAACUGUUUAAUACUUCUCCAAAAAAUUUGAUAGCUUGAUUUUGUAAAACUGAUCUCUCUAACAGGUAUGAAAUUGAUAAGGUCACUGCAGGGCAGCGUCUGGAUUUAAAUCUUGAAAGAGGGUAGGUAGACUUUAUUUUCAGUUGUUUCUUUUCAUGAUUGCACUUGCUUGCUUUAUUUUCUUAACUCCUAACUGAUUCUAGGCGCAUACGUGAUGAACUGGCCAAUCAGAAUGCAGAAACUACCAACCUGACAAACAAGCUAGAUAGGGUGAGCGUUUGGUUGCUUAUAUCAUUUGAAAGUCUAUAUUUAAAUACUUUGACAUGCAGCAUAAACAUGAUGUUAUGAAUCAUCUGCAGGAAAUUCAUGCAUUAAGAGCCCAGUUAGAAGCUGCGAAAUAUGAUGUAAUUAAGUACUGCAUAGGUACCCUCGUCUCCAUAUCUGCCGUUGGGCUAGCUGUACUGCGCAUCUUGAUGUAGUCUCGCAUCUGCUUUAAGUUGUGCCAACUAUUCCAACAUGAACCUCCAAUAUCAUCAUUCUUUUUUUUCUGGCAACUGGAUUGCUUUGGGAGUAAAAAGGGUGGGAAUUACUUAAUGGUUACAAGAUUUUUCGUAUAAUUGGCAAGGAAUGACAAAUCCCAGUUGAUCGGAACAAUUAUUUGUGCUUCUUUUAGGAUUAAGCACGACUUAUUCGAUUUACUCCGUAUGUUCUGUUAUUGUAUUCUAGGAAAGGCAAAGAGAUAAUCAUCCAACAUUGCUACCCCAGGCAAUGGUGCAAUUGUGUUAUGCUUCUAAGUUGGUUUUUCUUUUUAUCGAACUGAUGAUUUUGCCUUUUGUGCUAGCUGAUAUACGUGGAUAUAGAAUAAAAAAAAAAGAGAAAUAUGUGAAAUUAUGAUUAAUUCAUUAUAAUUUAUACAUGAUUUGUUUGGCCUCUUUUUGUUUUUACUGUUUGAUUAUUGCAAAAGCAUGAUUCGUAUUAUUUCUUUUUUAUUCUAUUAGGUUCUUUUUUUUUUAAAGAAUAAGAAUAUUUUACUAUGUCAAACGGUACAGUAAAUUUUAUAUACUGGUUCUCUUCGUUCUCUACUGACUUGAGCUGAAGAUUUAACUGAGAAUGUUGGUUUUAGUUUUUACUAUUUAUGAUUAUAUGUUAUAUUUAUGUUAUAUAUAAAGGUGCACGAUUUUGUAUAUUUUUAACUCAUAUUUCCUCUUAUGCUAUAUCGUUUUUUUUAUAUAGUCCGUUAAAUUUUAUUAGAGUUGUUCAUGGGUUGGAUAAAGUAAAAAUUUUGGUUUGUUUUUAUGCUAGAUUAGUUCAAAAAAUGAUUGAUUAAGUUUGGACUGGAUAAAAAUGCUAAAAUUUAAGUUCAGCUCGGCCUGUCCGUAUUAAAAAAAUACCGUAUUAAAAAAUAUAUAUUAUUUUGUAUAUGAAAAUAAAUUUAAAAAAAUAUAAUACUUCAAAUAUACUAAAAACAUUAAAAUAAAAAUAUUUUUAAACAAAUUGAAAAAAAUUAAAAAAUAUACUAAAUAACACUAAGAUAAAUGCAAUUUGGUGAGCAAAUACUUUUAAAAUAGUAGCAAAAUUAAUAAUAAAAUAACAAUAAUUUAAUAGCGAAAAAAUAGUAAAACAAUGAAAAACAAUGACAGAACAACAAAGAUAUAGUAGAUUUUUUAAUAAAUUCGAGCCGGUCUGGGUCAAAAAAGUUUAUUCGUAGUCUAACCUGUUUAAAAAAUAAGUCUUUUUUUUUGCCCAAACUCAUUUUUUGGAUUUAUAUUUUUGCGCAAAUCCUCUCACUUUUCAGUCAAACCUUUGAGUGACCCGGUCCAUUAACAAAUCUAAUUUGAAAACAUAUUAUAGUAUUAAGAUAAUUAUAAAUUUAAUAUUUAGUGUAGGGAAAAUAUUCAUUUACACCGAUUUUAUAUAUUUUUGUAGAUUAAAAUUCUAACAAUUCAACUGUUAUAUUUUAUUGAUAUGGAUUAUACAUGUUAAAUUUUAUGUGAAUUAAAAAUUGAAAACAACUUAUUUUAUAUGAAAAAAAUUAAAUUGUUCAAUAAAUAUAAAUUAUAUACACUAUUUUAAAUCAAUAUGACAUUAUAACUACAAAAUUAAUAAAUUUCGUAAUAAAUAAAUAUAAAUUUAAUGUAAUUAUAAUUUAUUUAAAAAAAUAUAUUUAAAACAUGGGUUCUAUUUUAUUUUAAAAAACCCAACAGAACAACGGUUAACUCCAUUAAUUUGCUUUGCUUUCUAUUUCUGCCUUUUCAAUCCCAUUCAUUUUCCACUCCGGAGGAAAUGCGCAACUCAGUGUGUAACUCGGCACAGCGACGAGUCGAGUCGCUCGUGGAGCAGUGAGUCCAAACGAAUCGCUCAUGUCAAGCUCCGUGGCCUUCAUUCCAUUAGGUAACUCCCAGUUAAAGCAAUGAAGCAAAUGAGCCACACUUAACUCCAACCCAUAUAACCCGAGUUGCGUUCCCGGGCAGGACCUUCGACCCGACCCAAAUGGAAUGAAUUCAAAGUUAUUGCCCUUAAAAUCAGGUGCACCCUCAUCCAAAAACCUACUAGGUUUAAACACAUUCGGGUCCUUCCAUGAUGACGGGUCACGCCCAAUAGCCCAUGCAUUGAUCAUUAUUCGCGAUUUCCCGGGUACCCAAUACCUGCCAAGGACGGAGUCCACGGCUGUCUCAUGGAGGAGGAGAGGGAUAGGUGGAUGUAGACGUAGGGUUUCUUUAAUGGCACAUUUUAGGUAGGUUAACUUUUCAAGAUCCGAUUCAUGGACGACCCGCUCCAACCCAACCACGUCACUAAGUUCUUGUUGAACUUUCUUGAGCUCUUCCGGACUGUUCAUUAGCUCCGCCAUUGCCCAUUCUAUUGCCGACGCCACAGUUUCAGUUCCACCAAACAUUACGUCCUACAGAGGGGCAAAAGUUAAAAAAUUGUUUUAAUCAUAGACCAAAUUAUUAUAUUAACUUAUAAUUUCAUAAAUUUUGAAGGAGUUAAUUGAUAAAUUUACCAAAUUAAAAGUAUUAAAUUAUAAUUUUGAUAAUAAGAAUUAAAUUUUAAAUUUUAAUAUAAUAGAGAAACCAAAAUUAAAAUUCACCAAAUAAAAACAUCAUUGUUCACCACAUGCAUGAAUCUUUGUAGGGAUUGCAACGUAAUGAGAAGGUUUUUUGCCGUGCCAUCUUCAGCUCGAUUUUUGUAUAUCCCGCCCCAACCUCAUCUUGAGUCCUUUUUUUAUUUAAAAUUCUAAUUUUAAAGUAGUGAUUAAAAUUUUUGUUUUAUCUAAUAUCUAGAUAAUACGGAGUUUAUAAAUUUUUCUAUCUCGCUUCCUCAAUAUUGUAAUAAACUAGUGGUUAAAAUAAAUAAAAAUAUAAUUAAAAAAGAGUUAAAUGUUCUAAAUUAUGAUCAUCAUUCUAAAUUAGUCCCUAAACUUUAAAAUAUUUUAAGUACAUCUUAAACUAUCUAAAUUAUACCAAUCAAGUAAUUUUUUUAUUAAACGGUUAAAUGAAACGUUAAACCUUAUGUAACUAAAUUUAAAAUAAAUUUUUUUCAAAUAAAAUAUUGCGACAUAACUUUUAAAAAGUGAAAACUAAAAAUAAAGAUUUUAGAUUAUAUCAUAUAAAAUUACGUAUUAAAUUAACGAUUUUUAUCGAGAUAUACAUCUAUAGUUUGAAUAUAUCAAUGGGAUUCAAGUCAUUGUUGUAUCUCUAUGUUUGUGUGUUUAUAUGUAUAUGUAGGUGUAAAGAUGUUACCAUGAUGAUAGCUUUGAUGUUAUCUUUGGUGAGCUGAAUGGAAGAAUUGGAGGACUCAUUAUAAUCUCCUUUGAAAACAUUUUCGCUGUAAAACGCCAUUAAUUCAUCCACCAUGUCGUCAUCGUAUUUGGCUGCUGCAUCAUCACCCGUCUUCCUCCUCUCCCUCGUCACCAAAUGUUCAUCGAUAAUAUGAUCGAUGAACCCAUCCAGCGAUGCCCGAGCCUUCACCAACCUCUUCUGAAACUCUCCCCCAUGUAUCCAUCCCAUCCAUGGAAAAAAAUCCGCUAUGUUGAAUGCCCCAAAUAGCUUCGAAAACUCCUGCAAUAUCUUCACGAGCUCCUCUUGCCCGUCACGCGAAAACGACCCGAACGCUGCUCUGUAAGUAAUGUUUCUCGUCAAAGCGAACACCAACUCCCCGACGUUGAGAGGCGAACCCAGGCUUUUCAUCACUGUUCGAACCGUCGAGCCGACUUCCUCACGGACGGAGGCCCAUGACUCCGCCCGUUUCCUGCUGAACACUUUCAUGACACAGAUUUUACGCAUUUGACGCCAAAAUGGACCGUAGUUGGCAAAGGCCAUAUCAGCUCUAUCGUAAGUUAAAUACACUAUCGCAUCAUUUGCGGGUCGGUUCGAGUAUAUGCUGUCUUGGGUGAGUAGGACCUCUCUCGCCAUCUCCGGCGUCGAUACAGCCACUAUGUGGAGCUUCCCCAUGGUUAGGUGGAGGAGACCGGCGUGACCGUACUGUCGAGAUAGGUGAGCUAGGCCCCGGUGAGUCAAUUGGUCCAUCAUCAUCAUGUUGCCGAUGAUGGGGUAGCCUUUGGGACCUGGUGGGUAUGGGGUUUUCCUGGGGAGCCCGAACAUGAAAACAAAGGAAACCAACAGUGCUGAAACAAGGAAGAAGAUGGGGGGUGAUUGAGGAGAUAACAGAGUUUGCAAAGAAUCCAUUAGAUUAUUCAUGAAAUUUAGAUACAGAUAAUCGCUGGUUUAUUUAAGAGCUUGAGAGGGGUAGCCUUAACAGAGGGCUAAAGUCUAAACACUCUAAUAGUUCAAGACAUAAGACUCAAAGGGUUGAGGGCUUCUAAGGAGGUGACAGCUAAUGCUACAUUUUACUUCUAUAUUUGGAGGGUUGUUUUUUUCUUCUUAAUUUGAUUUCGGUAUAAUUAUUAAUUUAGUCCUUUUGGGAUUUAAAAUGUGUUUCGACACCAUGAAAUAAUUGCAAUAACAUAUAAUAUUACACUAAAAUAAUAAUUACGUAAUGACAAGAAAUUUUAAGUUUUUUAAAUAAAAAAUUAAUUUAAAAGUCAUAAUUAAAUAUCCUAGUGUGAUUUUCUCAUUUCUAAUUUUUUUUGUAAUUAUAAUAAAAUAAUUACAAUAUUCCAAUUAUAAUUAAUUUAGUACAAAUUACAAUAUCUUUUAUGUCAAUUUUACGAUUUAUAAAGACUAAUUCUUUCGAGGCUUAUGGCUACUACUCCCAAAAAUAUUGUUUCUAGGGUUCACAUAUGAAUUCUUUCUUUAUGAGUGCAAUACUAUUACAGCCAAAAUUUGUUAGUUUAAUCUUUCUACUUAGGGAUGGACCGUCCCUUUGAAAUUUUCAGAUUUUUAAAUUUUAUAUAUAAAUUAUCAUAUAUUUUAGAUUUGGUGCCCAUAUUGUAUAACAUUCGCCCCUUUUGGUCAAAUUGUAUUUUAUAUAAUUCGCCCCCUUAAGCCAUAAGGUUAUACUUUAUAUUAAUAAAAUAUUUUUCAGUUUUUAAUUAUUUAACUUUAAUAAUAAUCAAAUAUUAAUGUGUGAUGGGCCUUGAAAGACUAAGCUUAGAGGCCCAAUAUGGACUUUAAAGCCGAAUUUCAGAAUUAAUUAAAUUGACCCAUACCCAUACAUAUACUCGUGUCUAUUGUAGCAACCGAACGAGCAUUUUUAACCAUGAUUUUUUUAGUAUAAUAUUAAUUAUUCUUUUUUGCAUAUUGGAAAGAAAUAUUUAACUUGAUAUAAUUUGACUUUUUUAUUUUUAUAAUGUUAUCAAUAGGUUCAAAUUGAUAACAAUGUUACUUGUCAUUAAACCGAUAAUGUAGAACUUUUUUGAAUUAAUCUAAAACAUAUUGUUGACAUAUAAAUUUAUUAUUUGUUAAACAGGGUUAAUUAAAUUUGCAAAUAGCUCCAAUCAUGCGACCGAUUUAGAAUACAAAAAUUAGGCACUAAAACUAGAACUUUUAGUCUCUACUAGGUAAUUGAUUAAUCAUUUUUUCCUUUUCCUUCUAGCCAAAUAUCAUGAAUGGAAAGUUAAUAAAUUUCAUUAAUAAAACAUUGUAUUUUUUUCAUAAUUUUUAUGGUAAAAAUAAAAUGUGAUAAUUUUCUUCCCAAAAUAUAGCAUAGGAUAAAACCAAUUUUAGGUAUUUUUAAGUACCCAAGAGUGAAUUUUCCAAUACCAGAUAUAAAAUAAAUUCAUAUACUAUAUUGAAUUUGUUGUGCUAAUAAUAAUUGCUUAAAAUAUUUAAUUUUUUUUAAUUACAAGAGGAGGGUAAAACCCUAAUAGUAACGCGACUAAUGCGACUCAAACCCAGACUACACCUGAGGUGAUAGAUGUAAAAUUCUUACCAAACUAUUGUUUUUCAAUCAACAACAUGAAUUAAUUAUGUGCUGAUAUAUUCAAAUUUUCAUUUUCUUUGAUUAAGUAUUAUGCUUUCUAACUCUUAGUUAUUCUCCAACCCUUAAAUAAGAGGAUAAUGUGUUUCAAUGCACUCGAACCCACGUCCUCUUACACCGGCAACAAUACCGAUGCUAACUGAACUAUGACUCAAUCGACAAUUGUCAUUUGUUUUAAAUGAAUGAGUUUAUUGUUUUUCUCUUGUAUUCAAUUUUUUUUUUUAUAAAGGGAGGAAAUUUUAAUUAUUUAGAUUCGAAAAUUUUUGAGCUAUAAUAAAAUCUACGUAUUUCGUUUUGUUGUUAAAAACCUAAUCUUUAAUAUCAUUUUGGUCCUAUAACUGUUCAUUACAGCAGUAAGCACAAAUUGGGGUUAAGAGAUUUAUCUACAUCUGCAAAAAUAAUGGUUACAUUAUUAUUAUUUUAGUAAAAAAAUAUUUUUUAAUUAAUUCAAUUUUUUUUUAGAAUUUUCUUUUUAUUAUGACCUAACAUCAAUAAUGUGAAUUACCACGUAAACUGUCAUAUUAGUAGCUAGUAUAAUUUUUUUAAUGGUUCAUUGUAACAAAAAUUGUCCAAUUUGACAAAAUAAAAGUCUGAAAGUCAAAUAUAAUAAAAAGAAAAAUAGGGGUCAAAUUGACAAUAGUUAUAAGGAUUGAAGAUUAAAUUUGUGAUUAUGCUUAAUUUUUAAAUGAAGUAAAAGGGAAAAAAAAAUUAACCAAAUAGGUGAAAAUGUACAAUUUGAAAAAUAGAAAUAUCAAUUUUGAACAAAUAAAAAUAAAAGGAUUGAAUCCGUAUAAAUUGAUAAGUUUGUGGACAAUCUUUACAAUUUAACCUAUUAUAAAACAACAGUGAUUAGGCACUAUUUAUUUUAUAAAAAGUAAAUUAAGAAUAUUAUCUAGAAUGGCAAAACUCGAACUGCUCAAUAAAUUUUAAAUUUAGAGAAAUUUUUUUUUUAAGAAGUGGAUGCGGAACAAGGUGGGGUGGAUUAUUUUUUUUGGACAAUGUGUAUGGAGCAAUAAUCGUAAUUGCUUAGCCAUCCUACCCAAAUCCACUAUAUGAAAUUACAAUUUUAUCUUUAUACAUAUAAUUAUUAAAAGGAUAAAAAUGUAAUAACAUAUUAUAAAAAAAUAUGACUUAAAAAGGUUGAAAAUAUUAAAGAUAAGUAACAAAAAUUAAAUUGAAGCAGAGAGCAAUGGGACGUAGAUAAAUGUAUCCAACAUCCAUAGUAGAGCAUGUCAACUGUAGAACAGUGGUGACUUUGACAACACUCACCUCCGUCUCACUCCAUUGGCAUCAUUAAUAUAAUUGUGUAGAAGAAAAGCCGAAAGUUGACAAGAGCUUUGACCCAUUGGUUAAAUAAUUAAAAAAAAAUUAAUCUUAAUAAGAAUUUAAUUUAAUUUUUUUUAAUCCUUAAUAAUUCAGUUUAAAUUAUUUUAACACAAAGCUCUAAAUAUAUAAUUUUUUUUAAUAAUAUUAUUAUAGGUUCUAAUCAUAUCUGUUAUUUUUAAUAAUAUGCUUCAGCGCACUCGAACCCACGUCCUCUUACACUGACAACAAUACUCAUACCAAUCGUGUUAAGACUCAAUCCGCAAUUAAUAUUGUUAAUUUCAUUCUUACCAUUGAUGGUAAAUCUUUAUGGUUUAUGGUAACUUAAUUACUAUUAAGAUUUAGUAACUUAAUUACUUAAUAUUAAGGAUAUAUUUAGUAAAUGCGUAUAAACAAGGGAAGUCUACAGCUCAAGUAUUUACUCUCUUGUCAUAUUUCGACCAAUAUUUCUUUUUAUACCCAAAAAAAGAUAGAAAAAAAAACAAUCUUACUAAAAUCGUGUAAUUUUUUAUUAUUGAAAUUCGAUUUUUGAUAAUUUUAAUUAUUUAUGUUUUCAAUACAGAUUUCGAUUCUCACUCAUAGGAAUGAAAUAUAUUUUAUGAUUAAUUAUUAUCUCUUUAAAAUGUACUAAUAAGAAAAGAUUUGUCUUUGUUAUCGAUAAUGAGUAUCAUGAUUAGAACUAAAAAUAUAUUAUUGGAAGUACAGAAUAUAAUUGGAAUAUGAUUUUUUUUUUCUAAAUACGUUUCAAAUUGGAUGAGAAUUUUAUUUUUAAUUUUUUUGAACAAUCUCGUUAUAGGUUCUGAUCGUAUCUGUUCUUUCUAACACAAUAUCUAGAACUACCCAUAGUCUCUCCCAAACCCAUAAAUAAGAAGAUAAUGCAUUUCAAUACACUUGAAUUCAUAUCUUCCUAUAUUGAUAACAAUGCACACACUAAUCGAAUUAAGACUCAAUCGACAAAACUUAUUUUUAAUUUUUAAUUUCAGCUUACCACAAUUUUUGUGACUACAAUUGUAGUUUUAUUUGUAGAAUAUGACGAUUUUAAUCAUGAAAUAAUUAAAACUAAUAUAAAAUAUAGUAUAAAUUAUUAAAUUAUUCAUAAAAAAAUUAUAUGGAAGACAAGAGUGUUGCUUUGAGAGGGCUUUACUGCAUCCACAAGCACGUGUCCUCAAAUGAAGGCCCACUACUUAUAUAAUUAACAAUAUUUAUGUCAGCCUAACUACUAAAUUAAUCUUCCACGCAUCGAUAAACUGUUUGUGAAAUAAAAAUAAAAUAAAAUAAAAAGAUCGUUAGUGUAUUAAAUAUUAACCCAUAUAAAUAAAAAUAAAGGUUUGGGUUCAUCUUAUUUUUAGUUUCGGGUUCAAGUCAUUUGCUUUUGCGAGUUUGGAUGGAUUUUGACCACUUCAAAUUCUAUCAUUUUAAAUUGCUUUUCAAAUCAUUUUAAAUUCUAAUUAAUUCAAGUUGAUAUCAAUUGAAUGAAUUUAACUGGUAAACUUUUUAUAAUCAAAUCAAGAAUUCCAACCAAUUGAAUCGAGACAUGAAAACAAGAAAUGAAAAGUUUAUAAUCAAAUCAAGAAGUCCAACCAAUUGGAGAAGAAGAGUUUAUAAUCAAAUUCUUAGAAGAAAGGGAGAAAUUUCAACAUUUAUUUAAAACAAAUAUCUAAAUCAAAUCGAUUGAAUCUUAGUUCGUUUGAAUUAAUCGAAUCAAGUUAUUCGAAUUAUUCAAGUCAACUUGAAUAAGUAAUUCGAGUUUCGAGUUCAAAUCGAGUUGAAUUUUAUAAUUCGAACAACAGAUUUGUGUAAAUACCUUUUUGGUCCUUGUCAAGUUUGAAAAUGAAUAAGUUUGUCUCUUUCUCAACAAAACUUACAAAAAAAAUCAAAAAUAUUUUUUAAAAUUAAAAAUAUUUAUAAAAAUUUUUAAAUUAAUAUUUUGAAAAAAUUAAAAAAUUUCAAAAACAUAUAAAAUAUAUAUAAAGAAAAUUAAAAAAUUUCAAGAAUAAUAAUUUUGGGGACCUAAAUAAGUUAAUUAAUGAUUCAAGUUUAUCAUACUAAAGUAUUUUUUUAUUAUUUUGCUUUGAAAAAAAUUUCAAAUUUGUGUGUUCUAACAUGAAAUUAGUUAUAUUGUAACAAUAUUUUAAUUUGACAAUGUUUAAUUUUUUUUUAAUUUAACUCAAACAAUUUCCCUUGAUUCGAAAAAAAUUCAAAUCGAGUUAGGAUGAUAAAAUAAGACUUGUCAACUCGAUUAACUCGAAAUUUUUUGACUCAACUCGAUCGAAUGUUUACCCUUAGUUCUAGAUAUUGUGUCAAAAAAAAUAUAAUCUAAGCCUAUAACGAGAUUAUAUAUAUAUCAAAACCAAACAAGGGGUAAUUUAGAAUUCCCAAUCAGAAUGAAAUGUAGAUAGAGAAGUUGGGCCUACCAGAUGUACCAUUUUGUAAUCAUAAAAGUGGUCCAGUUCAAUGUUGUUAGGACUUUGCAGACACAUGGUCUUGGCCUCUUGCUUCUUCUUCAGGCCACUCUGCCUCCGACCCCACCCCUUCCCCAUUUUUCUUCCUUUUUAUUCCAUAAAUUCCAACCACUUGGCCACCUUUCAUUUCUCCCUCUCAAAAAAUCACAUCUCUAUUAUUUUUCAAAGUUUUCGUACCUUUAAAAAAUAAAAAAAAUUUAAUUUCAUCCAACAUUUUAAAUUAAUCUCUAAAUUUUAAUAAUAAUCUAAUUAAAAUUUCAAAAUAUUAAUCAAUAAAUUUUUUUGGUGGAUUUUAACUUCAUUUUAAACAUUAAAUGUUUACUUGAAUAUAACAUAAAACGUUAUUAUAUAUUGUUAACUAUUUUUAUUGUGUUCUAAUGAUGGGGGAGAUUCAAUAUUUAUAAGAUAUAGUUAUUGUUGAUCAAAAUGACAUCUUAGGUAGAUUCCACGCAAAUAGACAUGUAUGCUAUUCUAUACUUAACACAUGUCGUUUAACUUCAUAUUCUCUACCUGCAAACACUCAAAAACAUGCAAACUUGACUUGCAAACCUUCCCUACAAGCCCUUAAUGUAUUCGCGAGUUGACAUUUCAAGUUGUAUUCAAGUUUCGAAUCAAUAAUGAGAAAUAUCAUAACAUAUAUGUAUUUACGGCAUAAACAAUUUUGAAAAUCAAUUCUCAAGCCAUGUGAAUCAUUUUGAAUGAAAAAAAUAUCAAAAACAUAAAAUUCAGACUCGUAAAUAAAUUGACAAAAAAAUCUAAAACUAAGAGUAUAACAAACCCUAAAAAUAUUUAAUCCAAUAACAAUUAAACCCGGUUCAACCUCAAACCUAUCCUAGUAUACCUAACUUCAAAAACUCGGAACCAACCGGGUUGACUCGACUGAAUCGUUCACUGCCAGUUCUUUCCUUUUCCUCAUUUCCAAAACUUUCCUAUGGCUAUUGGAGUGCAAAUCACCGGAAAAUGUGGGACUACAAGCCGGUCUAUAUUCAGGAAAAAGUCGACCGGACUUGUAACGAACCCCACAAGCGUUGCACAAGGUUUUGGCACCAAGAGGACCGGUUCGCCACUGUGGAGUCUUCUGAACUUGGCAAUGACUGCAUCGCCGUUGGAAAGGGUUCCCACUUGACAACCCACUACCUUGAACCGCCACCGGUUUUUUCUUCUGUUUCUUUGUCGGCGGUACUCCGAAACCAUUAGCCAACUCCGUAGAAGUCAUGGAAGACCCCGAGCAAGUACUCGAAGAUGAUGCUGUCGAAGACGAUGACUCGGAAGUAGGCAGUGACCGAACCGACCAUGUCGGGACUGUCGGUUUAGACCUCUUGCUCCUCGCUUUACUUGGAACCGACGAUGAAAGAGACGGCGUUUUCACAAAAACCGGGCCGGUUUCCGCUUCAAACCGAGUUCCUGCAUGGUUAUCAGUUUCCUGCUUAAAAACAGGGCAUGGCAAAGGAAUCUCCGGUACCGAAUCGUCCACAAAGUGAGACACCCAUUCAAGCCCUGCUAUUUCAUCAUCCUAAAGAAAACAAAAACAAAAAAUUCAAAAUUUUGAAUUCAAAAAGAGGAGGGAUUUUUUUUUAAAUUACUUCAAAUUAAUGAAAAAUUACCGGUACGGAGAGUGUAAAACUGGUGGAAUUAGAGUUACUACCAUCAUCUGCAACACGUUGUUGAUAUGAAGUAGAAACGGAGUUUUUUUCUUCUUCUUCAACGGAACCUUCAUCAAAUUCUCCGUUAUUGAAAUCAAGGAAGCAAUCGAUGGAGAAAUCUUCACCCGCAACGGCGCCGUUCAUAACAUUCAUGACCAAGAAAUCAUCGAAAACGUGGUGGGUGUUUUGCAUGGUCAGUUCUCUUACACUCGAUUUCAAAGCUCUCAAAUCCAUGCAACAAUCCGUUUCUAUUCCCAAAAACCAAAUCAAAUUCAACAUCAAUUUUCAGUUAAACCCCAUAAAUUAUAUAUAUUAUAUGAAAGUAUGAUUUACCUGGUAAAGAAAAUAAAGAACAAAUGUAGGAACGAAGACUAAACUGAUGGAAAAGGUGAGCAAAUGGUUGAAGGCUUGUUCGUGGGCGAAACUAAUGCUGGAGUUAAUGGGUUUAUCCUUUUUUAUGUCUCUCCACCAAAAUUUCUACUUAGGUCUAAUUUUCAAUUUACUCCCUCUUUCACUGAAAUUUAAUUAUUUAAUCCUUUUACUUUUAUUAUAUCAAGCAACCACCUUUAAUAAUUAACAAUUCAAUUAUUUGAAUUUUUUACUACUAUUCAAUCAUACAAUUAAAGCCAUCAACUGAAUGUUUAAAUGUCAUUAUUUUAAUGAAAACAACUAUUGAUUUUAUCAACUUAGACCUACUGAUAAUAAUAUUAUAAAAAUAAAAGAUCGAAUUUUGUCAAAUUAAAAUAGAAGAAUUAAACUAAAAUUUCAGCAUGGUAGAGGGACUAAAACCAGAAUUAAGCCUUUUUGAUUUAUGGUCAAAGUUGGUUAAUUUGCUGUUGAUGAUUGGUCUGUGAGCGGGAGAUUGUGACAGGCGAUUACUGGCGCUAAGAUAAGUUCAAAACACUAAAAAACGUAUAAUGAACUAUCCUCGAAACCGCCGUCAUUUUGAUUUUUCUUGGGAGGUUUGAAAUUUCCGAACUUAGCACACGAAUUUAAGGUUAUUUACAAUAUUAGGAUUGCUUUGCUUUGCUUUGCCGCGUUAAUCUUGGCCUUUACGCAAAUUGCCGCUCUUUCUUUUUCCUAAUUUUGGAAGGUUUUAUUAGCACGCGCCAAGGGUCAGGCUUUCUUUAUCUGACGGAAACUAGGGGCUUAAGAUUUAAAUCGGACGGCUCCUGUGACGAUUGGAAUCACGUGCUGGGUUUUAUUCGUGUAGCAAAAUUGCGUGUAGAAAAUUCGUGCAUGCAAAGCGUGUUGAGCUACGGCCUUCGAUCUACCCGUAUCAUAUCUGAAAAUAAAGGUCUAAUUCCAAAUUUUAUCCCUCAAUUUUAAUUAUUAAUUUUUCUAUUUUAAUUUCUUCUAUUUUAUAAAAACCGAAAAGUCAAACUGUUGGUAUUUUCUCAUUUGUUGUAUAUAAAUUACUAAUUUUCAUAAAAUAUGAAAAUCAAAUAUUGAGAAAUUAAAAUAAAAGGAUUAACUUUUUAAUUUUAAUAAAUAGAAGGAUAAAAUUUAAAAAUAUACUAAAACGUAGGUUUUAAAUAAAAAUAAAAGUUUUUAUUUUUUAAUUCUUAGAUAAGUAUUUAUACUUUUAUAAAAUUUAAAUAAUUUUUUAACUUAAAAUUUGAAUUGUUAUCUCUAUUAUUUUAUAUAUAUAUAUUAUAUUUGUAUUUAAGGUUAUUACUUUAUACAUUGGUCGUUGCAAAAUUAGGGCGCUGGCAAGGCCCCACCUCCACCUUAAAAUAAAAACUUUUCUAUAUAAUCAAUUUAAAUUUAAGUAAAAUUACAUAUUAACCUCCUUGAAAUAUAAAAAUUUGAUUUAAUUUUUUAAAAAUUAUAAAGAUAUAGUCUAUUAAAACAGUAAAAUUAUAUUUUUUCUAUCGUAAAAAUUAUAAUUUAAUUUCGACCCCUGUAAAUGAAUUUUGGUUUCACCUCUAUACAUUGGUGGAUAAAUUUUUUAAGUCUUAAAAAAAAGACUACGAAAUAUCUUUAAUUGAUAUUUAAAAUAAUAAAAAACAAAUAAAUAAAUGAAACACAUAGUGAUUUCUUAAGGAUAUUUGCGCCGUUAUCAAAUAAUAUUGGUUUUUUUCCCUUUUAAUUUUUUAAUUUUGUUAGAUUUUUUUUUAAUAAUCUUAUUAUAUGUUCUGAUUAUAUCUACUGUUUUUAAUAGAGUACCUACGACUAUUUAUAACCCUUCCCCAAUCCUUUAAACAGAAGGAUUAUGCACUUGAAGCAACAUCUUUCUGUACUGAUAACAAUAUUCAUACUAAUCGAACUGAGGUACAAUCAACUAACUUUACUGUUUUUAAAACUUAAAAAAAAAAUAUAAUCGCAUCUGUUAAAAUCAAGGUAUAGUCUUACUCACUUCUUCGAAGCUGAUAGUCGUGAUAUUUAUUUAUUUAUUUAAAUUUGAUUUUUGCUCACACGCUUCACAUUUGUAACCAAAAAUAACUUCCACGUUAGCCCUAUAAUAAUAUCAGACGGAAAUUUUCAUCUAAAUAUAAUUUCUUACUUUUUUUAGGUAAAUAAUAAAAUAGUAAUUUUUAUUUGCCUUAGAUUACAUUUUAGUCACUUAUGUUUGAAAUAUUAUGUUUUAGUUACUUACACUAUUGUUUUGUUACAAAAUGAUUACUCUGUCGUUAAACUCCGUUACCUCCCUAAUGGCAAUCCUACGUGACAGCCCAAAUGAGUUUUAAAUGUCAAUUUGGAUGUCCAAUUGGGACGAAAAUAAAUUUUUAAUUAAUUAAAAUUAAUUAAUUAAAAAUUUUAAAUUAAUUACACCUUGAAUUGGGAAAGAAAAACCAUUUGUCUCUUUUUUUUUAUUCUUUUUUCUAUUUUAACUUAAAAAAAUAUUCUCAUCCUAGUUGAAUAUUCAAGUUGGUAUUUAAAACCCAUUUGAAAUGCCAUGUAAGAUUGUCGUUAGGGAGGUAACGAAGCUUAAUGGCAGAACAAAAGUGACUAAAAUGCAAUAUUUUAAAUACAAAUGACUAAAAUGUAAUCAAAGACAAACAAAAAUGACUAUUUUUAUAAUUUACUCUUUUUUUAAUAUUUCGUUGGGGUAAGAAAAGAAACUUGGGUGACUGAAAAGGGCUCCGAUUCCUCUUAAAAUUAAAAUUUUUUUAUUAAAGUUUUUUUAUAGUUUAUAAUUUAUAGCUUAUAGGGUAAAAUUAUAUUUUAACUCUAAAAUGAUAAAAAUUUAAUUUAAUAUUUCAAAAAUUAAAAAUAUAUAUAUUAUUAAAAUAGUAAAAUCACAUUUUUUUAUAAAAAAUAAAAUAUAAUUCUGACAAAAAAAAUUCUAACCUCACCCUAAAAUCCAUCACUUCGCUUAUUCAACAAUCAAAAACCUCAAAUAAUUUAAAGGCCAUACAUUCAAACUACAAAAAUGUGUUGUUACAACCCAGUAAAAAGAAAAAGAAAAUCACAAUAAAAAAAUAAUUUAAACUGUUUUUCAUAUGCUUUGAGUUUUUUUUUCUUUUUUUGGCCCACAAUUGGCUGGUCUAAUUUCGAGUACAAUUUUUUUGACUAAUUGACUUUAUUACAUUAGUUCACUGGCUACUGAGUUUGCAGCUCUGCAUUUCAUGUUGUAAAAUGAAGGUUUAUUUUGUUAUUAUUUAUUUGUGUUUAUUAAGAGAUUUUAAGAAUAUUUUUUAAAUUGAUCAGGUCUUAGUUCAAUCGGUAUAGAUAUUUAUUGUUAAUACAAAAGGACGUAGGUUCGAGUGCACUAAAACAUAUUAUCCUUGUAUUUAUGGAUUGGGAAUGAGUUAUAUGAUCAAAAUCUAUAAAAUGUGCAAUUCAACAUGUCAAAUUGGUUGAUUUUCUUUAAAAUUUUAAAUAAAUUUUUAUGAAGCUCAAGCAAACUUCGACACGAGUUAUUCAAAGAAGUUUUUUCAUAAAAAAAAAGUAAAUUGUCUAAAUUUUAAAGAUUAAAAUCCAAAAUAAAACUAAAAUAAUAAAAUAUAAAUGUUAAAGACUAAAUUUAUUGUUAAAAUAAUAAUAUCAACUUGUAUCGAAAUAUUAAAAUUUAAUGACAAAUUUGAUCACUAACGUUAGCACGUUUUGUCAAAAUGAUACUAAUUGUAUUUUUGAGUCUUUUUCGGCCAUCAACCUUUCUUUUUUUUUCAAUACUUUUUUUAAUAGUUUUAAUGAAAGUACCGUUAAAAAGUUAAUGGGAAUAAGGAAUUUCAUAUGUGGAAUAUUUUUAACAAUAUGUAAUCUAUUACUUAGAUAACCCAAUAAGAUAAUUGCAUGUGGAAAAUAAAAAAAAUAAAUAAUAUAUUAAUUUUAAAAAAUUUACUCUUAAUUUAAAGAAAAUAAACGUAAUUAUAUUAAAAAAAUUAACUCAAUAGAAAAACUUCUCGAUAAACAAAUGUACGAAAGAUUAAAACCUUUUGAAAGAAAAGAAAGAUGAAAACCUUGAAUUUAUUCAUUAAAUUUGUUAGAAAAUACAAUUUGAAAAAAAAAAUUCAAAGGUUGAUAGCAAAAAAAGAGUCAAAAAUAUAAUUAGAACCACUUUAACAAAACAUGCAAAUAUUAGUGGCCAAAUUUAUUAUUAAGUCAAAUAUUAAUUAAGGUUAGGGAGAAUAUUUAAUGCACGGUCGUGCAUAAGUCCCAUGCACAGUCAUUGAAUAAGAACAUGAUCCCUCGUCAUCAAAUAAAACAAAGAAAAAUGGAGGACUUAUAAAAAAUCUUGAUAACUUAUUUAAACAUAAUUGAAUAAUAAUUAAUUAUAAAUAAAUCUUAAAAUUCUAAAUUUGAGAUUUUAGACUCUAAAUUCAAGAUUUUAAAUUCGAAAAUUAUUGAUAUUUAUUUAUAAUAUUUACUAUUAAUAUUUAAUUAUAUUUAAAUAAAAUCGUUAAUACAUAUUCUUUAUGAUAAUUUUUCAUAUUUUUAUUUAUUGGUAGUGCAUAAAUUUAUAUAAUUUUUAUUAUUUUGUUGUCAAUGCCUAAACCCCAAAUCCACUUGAAGUGAUGAACCCACCCCACUUCUAGAGUCCACGUAGACAUGCAGGUGACCUAAACCUUGACAAAUUACAAUCUCAAAAUUAAAAUCCCAAAUCAAAUAUUUGUUUUAUGUAUUAUAUGAUAAUUUUUUGAAUUUUAAUAAAAAAUUGAAAUAGGAAAAAUAAAAUAAAAUAAUUAAAAUAUAAUGAUUUUUGGGCAUGUAGAACACAUUCCUUAGGGUUCUAUAUGCUUUCAAGAUACAAAAAAAUCUUCUGCAUUCCGAACAGAAUAGUAAAAAUGAUUGGAUGAGCAAAGAAAUCAAGAAGACAGAUCCGAACCGAUGUAUUCGGUUUGGUUCGAGUUUUGUAUUGUUCAGUUUCAAGUUGGUGUUAUCACUUAAACUGCACAAUUCGAUUUAGAUUCAAUUUUUCUACAUAGACUCCGUUUUAUCGAAAUCAAACUGAAUGAAAAAGAAAAUCUAUGUUUAAAGUAAUAUUAUUAUUAUAAGCAACUAGAUAGGAUCAAUCAAAAAGAUAAAGUUAUAAAAAUAUUUCAUAAAAAAUUGUAAAAUUGUAGUUUUAUAUUAGAGUAAGUGAAUCAUUUCUUAAAUAUAAUUAUUAUAAAUAAGUGUAUAAUUCUAAUAUUAGGAAAAUAAUUUAUUAAAAUUUAUAAUAUUUUAUUUAUAAAAGAAACAAUUUUUUCACAGUUUUAUGUAUUUGAUAGUUAUGAAUAUUAUAAUCGCUCAAUUAUAACUAAUGGUUUAUGUAUUAGCCUUUUUUUUAACAACUUUAAAUGAUUUAUUAGCUUAAUAACUUAAAAUAAUUUUUUAAAUAGUGUUAUUGACGAAUACGAUUUUAAUUAAUUAUUUAAUUCACUUUAUAAAUGAAUCUAGAGCAUAUAUUAUGAUUGUUAUGAAAAAAAAAAAUUCAAGAAUUGCAAUAUUAGAUUUUUUUGGGCUCAAAACGAGGUGAUUGGUUUUUUUUUACAAAGCUCAAAUUUGUUAAAAAUCGCCGAACCGAACCGCGAUUAUCGGUUUCAGAUAUUUCGGUUUUUAUUCUAUACAGUUUCGAUUUCAAAAGUGAAAAGCUGAAUGGAAUGGGUCGGUUCAAUUUUUGUCCAAAAAUCAAAUUAAACUGAAUACACCCCUAGAAAGGACCAAUAGAAAAGACUUUUAUAUAGACAACAAAUAGGUGUAUAUUUCCAUGAGAUACCUUUUUCUAUGAAUAUAUCUUUUAAUGAGAUACCCUUUUAUAGAAUUGUAUAGUUUUAUAAGACAUAUUUACUUAAAAUUUUAUCUUUAUAAGAUAACUUUACGUGCAAAAACUAUGUAUUUACAACACAAUUACUUGGUCAAUAAUUAUAAUUUAUUUGACUUUUCUAUAUGAUAAAAUAUUAUUACUAUCAACAUCAUAAACUACUAAUAUUUACUCUUUAAAAUUUGGAAUUUUAAUCACGAUUUAAAUGGUAGUCACUAAAAUUAAUUAAAAUAACGUGAUAUUUUUGUAAAUAUUUUAAAAAAAUAACAAAUUAAUAUAACAUUACACAUACAAUAAUAUAUAUUUUUCACACAAUAUUUAUAAACAACGAGAUUUAACUUCAAGAAAUUAAUGCUACCAUUUGGGUAAAGUCCAAAUUUCCAAAAUUUGCAAAGUUGAACAACAAAAAGUAUAAAAUUAAAGUACACUAAUUAAAUCUACCACUUAAUCUAUUUUAUAAAAGUAGCAUUGUUAUGGUCCUACAAAGACAAAUGAAUAAUGAAAGAAAAAUGGUUUUAGGGUUAACGUAAUAAUUAAUAUUUAAUUGGACAAUUAAGAACACUAACCCAAAUUUGGGGAUGCUUAAUAUUUAUUAAUAUCCCAACUCACGAGCCUUUAAAUGUAAUUAGGUCAGAAGUUGCUAAGCAAUUUAUUUGUCGUUACUGUAUAUGGAAGCUUUGGAUAUUAAGGCGUCACUAGAGGUUAUCAUGCCCAGGUCAGGUUGAGUAUUCAAGUUUGAUCUAGAUAAAAAAAAUUUUAAACUUGGCCCGGCUCGUUUAUAUUAAAAAUUUUAUAUUAUUUUUACAUAAAAAAAUAGAAUACAUCAAAUAUACUAAAACAUUAAAAUAACAGUUUUCCAACAAAUUAAAAAUAAAUUAAAAAAAUGUCUUAAUAAACAAAUGAUUUACUUGAGGCUCGACCCAUUUUCUAAAUAAGUCUUAUUUUUUUCCAAACUUAUUUUUUACACUUAUAUUUUUAUCCAAAUCCUCUCAUUUUUUGAGCGAGCGUUUGAGAAAGUCUACGCAUAACAGAAAUUGAGUACUUUAACAUAAAUGCAUAAAUAAUAAUACAUUUACGAAUUAUUAUAAUGGAUGAUAAAAAACUAAAACAAGUGAGAUUUAAAUCGAAAUAAACUCUAGAAUGACAGACAAAUUUUUUAAUUAAAAAGUUAUUAAUUUUGACAUAAAACAAAGUUUCAAUGAAAAUAGAAAAUUUAAAUACAAAUACGAUGAGAUGAAUAAUACUAGAUUAUCUCAAUAUAUUAAUAAUUAUUAUUUAUGUAUUUUUUUUGUUUUUUAAAUCUAAUUCAAUUGUAAAAGUAUCUAAAAAUUUUUAAGUUGAUACAAUGCUUAGAACUACACAUAAUUAGAGUUGUUCAUGGGCCGGACUGGGUCCUAACAAAAUUCUAGGCCCGAUUGAUAAGCUCGGGCCUAGCCCUGCCUGACAGUAUUAAUUUUAUUUUUAUCUAAAAAAAAUUUAAAACAUAAUAUUUCAAAAACACAGAAAAUAUUAAAAUAAAUGUUUACCAACAAAUUGAAAAUAAAAUUUAAAAAAGUCUUUGUACUUAAAUAAUAUGUGUUAUUUAACAAGGAAAUACCUACAAAAAUAAUAGCAAAAUUAAUAUUAAAAUAAGAGUUAUACAAUAUCUAAACAAUAACAACAAUAUAAGAACAACAUAAUAGUGAAAUUAUAGCAAAACAAUGAAAAACAAUAAAAAAAACAACAGUAAAACAAUGGGAAAACAACAAUAAAACAAUAAUUUUUUUUACAAAUUCGAGCUGGACUAGGUCAGAGGAUAAAAAACUUUACUUGAAGCCCGACCCGUUUUCUAAACGGGUCUUAUUUUUUUGCCUAAGCUCAUUGUUUGAGCUUAUAUUUUUUUCUAAAACCCUCCCACUUUUUGAGCGACCUUUUGGGUUGGGCCAUGGACAAGUCUACCCAUAACUUAACUCAACCCUUAAAUGGAAAGUUAAAUUAAGACUCAAUCGAAAAUUAUCCAUCUACUUUUAAUUAAAACAUUUGCUUAUUUUUUUUUAUUUGUUUUGAUCCUUUUAGACGUAGCUUACUCCAUGAGUCCAUGAAACAUGCAAUUUGCAAUACUUCAAUUCAUGUGAUUUUUUAUGAAAAAAGUAAAUCUUAAAAUAAAUUUAUUUAUAAUAAAUAUCUAAAUUAUUAUAAAUUCUCGUUACAUCAAAUAUUUAAUUAUUUUAAAAAAAUUAUAAAUAUAUUUGUAUUAAAUUUAAUUUGUAAACUUAUAUAUAUAUAAUUUACCCAGUAUGUAAUUCAAAUUUAAAAAUAAAAAAUUAUCGUCAAUUGAGUCUUAGCUUAAUUAAUAUCGAUUUAUUGUCAGUGCAAUAGGACGUGAAUUCGAGUGCGUUGAAGAGCAUUAUCCUCCUAUUUUAUAAAAAAGAGCAAAUAUGAUAAGAACCUAUAAUGAGAUAAAUUAUUGACUUCGAUCUUAACAUUAACCCGACCCGAGCUUGAAUGAGUUGGUUGUUUACCAAAUUUUGAAUUAUGAUGACAAUAGCAUGUAGCAAAAUUGUUUCAAACCAGUUACUAAUAUAAUAUCUCAAUUAAACUUAAACUCGCCAUACCUAAUUUUUUUUUUAUUUCUGAUCUUUUUCCACCAAACAAAUAAACAUUUAGUCUCAAAGAUGAAAACAAAAUCCUCAAAUUUGUACUCAAUACUACUAAUACAUAUAGCUAAUUUGGGUUUAAAAUACUAAACAAUCUAAAAUUUAAUAUAUCAUACAAUGAACUAGCAAGGAGGGAAGCAUAUUCAAGAAUGUCAGGACCCACAAUCCAUACAUAGUUUUUUCACCCUCAUCUAAUUUGGGUGCUUAGCUACUCUAUCAUCACUCACAUAACGGCCACUACCUAGUUUUUGCAACAUGUUCAAUGCAUCAAAUCCAAAAAGAAAAGUCUCUCCCAUUCGUCAUUGAGCACAUGUACAUUAACUCCCUUGGCUCAAUGACCCUCAUCCACAAACCCACAAUGGACCCCUACAAUGGUCAAAAAGGAACCACCAUUUAACUUUGUUGCCUUGUGUGUGUGUGCUUUGAAUCUGAUACAUCAAGUACAUUUUUAAAGAUUGCAGCAACCAGACAAAGUAACUAUUAUAUUUGAUUUACUAUGUUUAUUUGUUCAUUGAUGCAGAUUUUUAGCUAUGGCAUUGGCAUCUCUAAAUCAUGUUUCUGAGUACAAGUGAUUGUUAAUGACAAUUCUAACAACCACAGGAAUUCUUACUACAUGAAUGCCAUCUUCCCAGUAUAGGUUUCCGAACGAGUAUCUUCCUUGAACUUUUAGUUGAGAACAAAAGGUUACCUUGAACUUCAGCUUCUUUGUUGUUGAAUUGAAUGUCAAAAUCCAUGGCUCGACACUCACAUCAAUGCCUGCAGGAGCUUGAACGCGGGCUACGUAAAUGGAGUUCACUGGACCGACAUUUGUAACUGUUCUUGAGACAGUCAUACGUUGCUUAAGCUCGGGUAAUGUUAUAGAAGGCAAAUUUAGAUUUCGGAGGAACUUGGCUGAUUUAUGACAUGGGGUGUGAACCCUAGUCAUUAACCUGAUGGCAGUGCUGUUAUAACCCAUUGCAUAAAGGAAGCAGACAUAAUCUGAGGGUUUAAUGUCAUAAAUGAGACCUGGGUCUAGAGCUUUAUUUGGAUCUACAUGGCCACCUCCAUAAUCAAAUGGGUCAGCUUGCUUGUGGGGUGCUCCCUCAGCUACUGUAUGUUGGCCAUAUUCAUCCUUCAUAGAAGCUUCUCGAACCGAUAAAGAAAAAAAGAGUGUUGCAUUAACAAGUUGUAAAAGCAAACCAGAAAUGAAAAAAUUAUGUUUUCUUACCUGUUGUUACUAGUGCAGACUUAAUUGCUGCAGGGCUCCACUUGGGAUGGAUUCCUUUGAGAAGUGCAACAAUGCCGGAUAUAUGGGGACAAGCCAUGGAAGUUCCCGAAUCAAGUUUAGAGUUAAAUGGAGAUGCUUUAGUUUGAGGUGAAUUGAGUAGCUUGUAUGAAGAAGCAGGUGACCAGGAGGCCAAUAUAUCAACUCCUGGAGCAGCAAUGUCUGGCUGAAAAUGCAUUGACAUAUGUUAAAACAGAAGGCUAUGUAACUUCUCUAUGAAAAAAGACUGCUAAUACCUUCAACACUGAUGGUGCAAGGGAACUAGGUCCUCGUGAUGAAAAAUACGCUAUUUCUGGGGCUAGCUGUUGUCCGAUAACCGUCUUUGAGAAGCUGAACUUGACGACUGGCUUUCUGUUACAUGAAAGAGUUCAUUAAUAUAUCAGAGACCUUCUGAUGGAAUCUCAAGACAUAGGGUUCAACUCAUAUCUGAUGCAAAUGACCUGCUUGCAGCCAUGUAAGUCAGCAGAGAUGUCCCAGCUUCAAAGUCCACUUGGACACAGGGAAAACUCCAUGGACAAGAGACAUCUUUAGUAGGAAACUGUGCAAAUAUAACCCCUGCACCAUUGAUCUCAAGUACGGAUUUCGAAGCAAUGGCAGCCGACCUCUGCCACCGAGAUUGGAAACAAAGAAUUACUUUUCCUCUUGCUAGAGUGGCAUUCAGAGUUUCCAAAUCACAACUUCUGCAAAAGUAAACAAUAUCAAAAUGUUUAAUCGUAGUCCGUAUCUAGAUCGCAAAGAUUCAUGUGAACAAGAACCUAAGUACCAGUCUUACCCUGCACUGGUUCCAUCAAUAUUAGUGGCUGCAAUAUCUGCUCCAUAUACAAUAGGAUGAAACUUGUUCAAGCCCCUUCCUGUAUAGAAAGACUGGCCCUGUAUGAAAAACGUAAAAGUAGCUAAAUAAACAAAGAAUACAAUUGUAUUUUUCUAUCAAUGACUUGCGAUUUAGAAUCGAAUAUCUACCACUAGAUGGUAGUUCCAUCACGAGCAAAACAUGUCAGUAAAACCUUGCAAAAUUUUUUUGAUCACUGAGAAGAAAAUUAUGAAUUACCACUACAGUUUGGUUGUUCCCCAGGGUGAUCACUGCAGGGAAAUCUGGAUCAAUAGUGCUUGCAGCAACAGUCAUAACCCAAGGAGCAGUAUUAAUGACAGUUUGAGGAUAAGGACCAGUGUUGCCUGCAGAGCAUACAACAGAUAUUCCUCUUGCUACAGCGUGGAAAGAACCAAUAGCCAGCGCAUCAUCAACGUAAGUUGAAAGUGGAGGUGGUGAGCCCAAAGAUGCCGAAAUAAUAUCCACACCAUCAAAGAUAGCAUCAUCAAAUGCGGCAAGAAGGUCAGCUGAGCUACAGCCACCAGUAGCCCAACAAACUUUGUAGAUAGCUAACCAUGAUGAAGGAGCACCUCCUCUGGCUAUUCCUUGGGCUAGUCCCCUAAAGUUUGCAUUUUUUACUUCAGCACCACUUGCAGUAGAUGAGGUGUGAGUACCAUGGCCCACAGCAUCUCGAGGAGACAAGAACUCAAUUCCAUCACUUGGGGAAAGCUUUCCAAAUUCAGCUUCAUACCCUUUAAUGUACCAACGUGCACCAAUAAUUUUCCUGCUUCGAAAACCCUAGAGUUAGACACCUUAUACUUCAGCCAACCAGAACACCAAACACAACAUACAGUUCAUUUGAACUUCGAAAUGUUCCCUUUUAACAAAUUUAUUAGAUAUUACUUUGACAAUGAACUUUGAAAAAUAAAAGAAAAUUUGGUCUUGAUACAUAAGCUAUAUGAAUUCGGCAGCAUAGUACUAACAAUGGAAUAGUAAUUGUCAACAGACAGCAGGUCUUCUUAAACUUAAGCCAAAUAUGGCAUCAAACUGCAUUCAUUCUUGAAAAUCUGGGAUUAAACAAAUGCGAAAAAGAAAGGAGAUUGCUUCUUAAUAAAGGAAUAUUAAGAAAUUCUCCUAUUUUCAAACUCAUUAGAUAAAAAUUCCAGUGGUAACCCCUAAAUUCAAGAGUGGACAGAUAUGAAUUCCUUUGCUUAUUUGAAAUUAUUCAACAAGUUGUUGCCUGCAACAUGAUGCACAUGAUCUUGACAUUGAUUUGAUAAAGGAUAGCAAAAAAAAUUGUUAGAGCAAGAAAUGGUAAGAGUAUUGAUCAAAGCAAUUAUACCUAUUGCAAUGCGAACGGUUAAAUCUGUUUCCUUCCUGGCAUAUCCCUUUCCAUCGAGAUGGAAACUUUCCCAUGCCAUCAUCUUUGAAGCUUUCGGACUCAGGCCAUAUACCUUCUCAGGAAAAAAUGUAUGAUUAAUAUCAAAUUCCUAGAACAACAAAGUUAUAUAGCUUUCAAAAAGAAGUUGUAGGCUGACCAGUAUCCAUGACCCCAAUAAUAGUCCCCAAGCCUGAAUGGCCUUCUGAAAGAAUACCAUCCACAAUUUGAGGCUUUACUUGCAGGAAAUCCCAGCUUCUAGUAGUGUGCAGGUUUAGGAUUCUAUUUGGAACUACAUGAACAACUUCGGGGACAUCUGCAUAGGCGACAAAAAAAUCAUCUAAAAGACUAGUUUGAGGUAAAUAUGAAGGAGAACAAAACAGAGUUUACAGUUCACCAACAUUGCUACACCUGCAAUAAGCUUAGCUUGAGACUGACUGAGGACUGCAGCAAACCCUGAAAACCCAUGUUUGUAGCUGUAUAAAAUGGAUUCCUUGGCAGAUUCUUUGCUGUGUUCAAUUGAGAUCAUAGCAGUUUUACUAUUUUCCAUGUUCCAAUCAACUUGUCAAAAACAAAGUUUGUUUAUUCUUGUAAGCGAAAGUACUAACAGAACCAAGACACGCUUCCUUCUUGAAUGAUAUAAUUAAGGAUAAAGCUGUACCAAUGGAGUAUAAGUGUAUGCAUAUUUAUAGCAAAUCAAAUCUUAUUUAUCAGUAAUGGACUUUUUGCUACUAGUUCCAUAAUUGAACAACUUUUCACUAUAUAAUGAGUUAGCUAGCUCGAGAGCUAGCAUAUCAACCAUCUAUACGCCAUAGGUUAUGGGGUCGAUUCAAACCAUAAUAUGAAUAAAUAUACAGAAAAGAAAAGCUAUUGAAUAACUAGUGGUGAUUGAUGAAGACAGUUGAAAUUGAAACCUUCCAAGAAUGUCUGAAAGAAUCUGAUGAUGAGAAUCUUCCAGUAGAUUUGGCUCAUCAGUGUGUCUCUCCCCCAUAUAUACAAUAUAAACCUGUGAAAAAAAAAAAAACAAAGAUUCUUAUAUUAAAGGCAAAGAAUG